rnacentral:lncRNA from 1 species
AUAAAAGUACACAAAGACGGCAAAGUAGAAAGGCUUAGGGGCACCGAUAUCGUUCCCCCAUCACUUGAUCCCAAAACAAACGUUGAUUCCAAAGACGUUGUGUAUUCUCCUGAAAAUAAUUUAUCUGCUCGGCUUUACCUCCCGAAAAACACAAAUCAAAACCAAAAACUUCCCCUUCUUGUUUAUUUUCACGGUGGAGGUUUUUGCAUCGAGACUGCUUUUUCACCAACUUACCAUAAUUACCUCAACGACUUGGUCUCUGAAGCUAACAUCAUCGCAGUCUCGGUCGACUACCGAAGAGCCCCAGAGCAUCCCCUUCCUAUCGCUUAUGAAGAUUCAUGGGAUGCAGUCAAAUGGGUUGCUUCCCAUGUUGACGGAAAUGGCCCCGAAGAUUGGCUCAACCGUAAUGCUGAUUUUGAGCAAGUGUUUUACUCUGGGGACAGCGCUGGUGCUAAUAUUGCUCAUCACAUGGCAAUAAGAAACGGUGGAGAAAUUAUCGACGGCUUUAAUGUUGUUGGUAUUGUCUUGAUUCAUCCAUACUUUUGGGGUGUUGAACCUGUUGGUUCCGAGCCUACUGAUGUUAAAAUAAGAGCUGGAACGGAGAGAUUUUGGCGAUUUACUUGUCCAAGCACAAGCGGGCUCGAUGAUCCGUGGGUUAAUCCGUGUGCCGACGGUUCGAGCCUCGCGAGCCUGGGGUGCGCCAGGGUGCUGGUGUUUGCUGCGGAGAAGGAUUUCCUGUGCCCUAGAGGAUGGUUUUACUAUGAGAAGUUGAAGGAAAGUGGGUGGGGAGGCCAUGUAGAGAUAGUUGAGUCUAAAGGAGAGCAACAUGUGUUCCAUUUGAUCAAUCCCACUUGUGAAAAAGCUGGGUCUAUGCUGAAGAAAAUUUGUUCUUUCUUCAAUCAGGAUAAGCCUUGAAACUGAAGAGUUAUUUGCUUUGGUUCGGCAAAUAUUCGGGAGGAAAGAUGAAUAAGGUAAUUAUAACUCUACUGUGUGUGUGUGUGAUUUUCUUUCCCUUUUUUUUUUUCCCUCAGAAGAAAUAAGCAUCGGUUGAUUGCGGCUCAAAAUACAAGUGGGAUUCUGUGGAAUCAGAAUUCGGAAAAGGUUUUGGCCUUCUGGAAUCAUUGAUGUAUUAAUAAUUAGAUUCAUUCGUAAAUCAAUUAAGACAACUUGAUGUAUUAGUAGUACUGUUCACGGAGUCCAUCGAUUUGUCUUUGAUUUCGGAUCAGAAUAGAUCCAAUAUGAGCUCUGUUUCUUUCAAUUUUUAGCAACUUCAUUCAUUUCACUUAGCAAGUUAUCCUACUAAUCCGGUGAUUUGAUCAUAAAAGAUGAUCAUGAUAGCGGUCAGACACAGUUGACUGCCGGUCUUCAUAAUUGUUUUAUUAAUUAAUAAAAAUAAGUUAAGCAAAAUUAAAGUAUUAAAUAAAUAUGACUUGUAUGAAUGUCAAUAAUCUAUGAUACAAAUAUGGAGAAAUAAAUAUUUCUGCAUGCCAACGUGAUGAAGAUGAAAAUUUACUUUGUCAUGUCUGUCUUUCAGAAGAAAAACAAAAAUUGUGAUUUCUAUUGGAUGGCGCAAGAAAAAAAUUAUCAAUAAUUUUAUGUUGGAAAUGCCACAAUUUCUUUGAAGUCGAAAAAUAUCUAUACAAAUAUUUGGAGACAGCAGAGUCUAAACGAGAGCCGCAUGCAAUGCUGUGGCUAUGCUCAAUCAAGAUAUGUAAUGCUUAUGCAUAAAAUAUGCAAUAAUUUAGUUGUUGAUCAGAAGGAUAAUUUGCUUGCCACUUAUUCAAGAGACGUGGAGCCAAGCCAAAUCAGUGUUGGUGAGAAAUAAAGAGCGUGGUUUAGAUAAAUCCACAAAGAAGGCAGUCCUUACCAAAUAAAAUUUUCUACUAUCUUCAACAAAAACUGAUACCAUUUUUGAAAUUACAGUUUCGGUUAUGAUAAUUCAAAGGAUUAAAAUCUUGAGAAAACAUGUUGUGCAAAUCCAGCCGUUGGAUGCCAGUGGAUCCCACCAAUCCAAGUGCAUCCAACGGUUGGAUGCAACUGUGACACGGUACCACAAGUUGCACCGUAGCCUGAUCCUAAAAUCUUACCAAUCCUCAUAUUAUCUUGUCCCAAAAAACAAAAACAAAAACAAAAACAAAAAAUUGAAAGAGAGUGGUUUGGCACUUACAAAACUAUUACAAGGUGAUGUGUCAAUAAUCAACUCUACUAACUCUUUUAAUUUGCUCAAUUAUUGUUAAUUAUUUAAUUAUAUAUUUCACUCAGGCCGAAACUACAUUGCCACAUGGGUUUCGUACCCCCUUUUUUUGUCUUUUUCAAGGUUAAUUGUAAUGGAGUCCAUUUAUUUGUUUAAAAGAACAAAAAAGCUAAAGAAUUUUAUAUUUUCACACAUUAGUCCUGCAUCUAGAAAUGUUCAAUUACGAUGAUGUUUUUAGAAGCCACAAUCUAUUUUAGAAGCACUUUUCAAAGAUGCCGACAUGAAUACAAUACUCCGACAUCAUAGACUUGUCAAUUUAGAGAAUAUAAGUUUUUUUCUUUUUUUAUUGCAAUAUAUGUAGAGAAGAGAAUGCAUAAAUUGUUAGAGUUGAAGGAAAAAAAAUCCAUUUCACUCAAACUAAAAAAUAAAAAAAUAAAAAAUUGGUCAUGGCCAUGGUUCUGUUUUGCAGCACUUAGCCAUUAAUCCGACAAGAAUGUAACACAAUAUAUAUAUAUAUAUAUAUAUAUAUUGUAAGGGUUAAACAUGCGUAUUUAAUUUUUAUUAUAAAUCACUAUGCAUUUUAUAAUAUGAAAAGCUAAUUAAUGUGUUUUACAUAAAAAAUUCUUAUUUUUUAUUUACUUUUCCUAAAAUGAUUAAUAUUAAAAGAUAAUUAAAAUUAUUUACAAUAUAGAAACAAACUAAUAAAAUAAAAUUAUUUCUCUUCUUUUUAAUUACAAAAAAUUAAUAAAGAAAUAUUUAAAUUAUUUUCAAAUAGGGUAAUUGUUUAGAUUUAUUUUUUUACCCUUCUUUAAUUCAGUUAAUGAAAUAUUUUAAAUGAGUGCUAAUGACUAUUUAAAAUGUUGGGGUGGAAUAAAAAAACUCAAUUUAGUUAAGUGUGCAAUUAAAUUUACCCUUUUUAUUUAAGGACAAAAAUUCAACUAAAAAUACAAAAUCCUUGUUCAAAUGAACAAAAAUGAUUUUAUUAAUUGAUAAACUCAUGAUUUACGAAUUGAUAAACUAACACUUUAUUAUUAUUAUUAUUAGUAAAUUAAUAUAUUUUUCUACAUAAUCAAAUAAUUGAUAGUAUGUUAAAUAAAUAAAAUAUUAAUUAUAUAUAAUAUGAAAUUAAAUUCAUUUUUAUAUUUUGUGCAUUUCAUCCAUUUGAGAUAGUAAAAUCUCUUGCGUUAGAGAAAAAAAAGGUAUAAUAUCUCUCACAUGGGAGGAAAUUGGCUGCCAUUUUGUUAAAUUAAAAAAAUCAUAUAUAUAUAUAUAUGAUAUAAUUUAAGUCUUUAUCCCUGAUUUGCUCUUUAGACUUCAAGCGUAGAGAGAACUUCUCAUUCAUGGCUUCCACUUCAUCUUCCCCUCCUGUUACUCUUUCUUUUACUCUCUCUUUGCCCCGCUCUUGCACUUCUCAUACCACCAAUAAGAUUGAAAACCUUGUAGAAUACUCCUAUAUCCCUGAAUCAACCCAAAUCAGUGAGUCCUCCUACCCUCUUAUUAGCCCUUAUCAGUUGUACAAACGACCUAGCUCCUUUACCCGCAGUAUCCGCACCCUCAUCUCUGCCAGACGCCCUCACCCUAAAUAAUAUAUCCAGUCUUCCCGCCUGGAUCAAUGUGCUCUUCAAGCUACCUCUACUGAGCAAUAUGUCACUCUGGAGAUUCCCUCCGAGUUGCUCACCAACUGGAAACGAGAAGGUUAUACUCAUCUUCAUCUUGGAGGCAUCAGAUUAAUCCUUACCCUUCACGAGAGAAAAGGAUUACCGGUUACAGCUCACCUUGCUAUGCUUGAUACCCGGUUUAAACAGUACCAAGAUGCUGUUAUUGGCACUGUCCUCACAACUCUCCAUGCCGGCAGUGUUUUACUCACCUUUUAUCCCAACUUUAAUCUUUCCCUUCAAGACCCCAAUUUGCCCACAACCUUGAAAGCCCAAGUUCAGAUCCAAGGUGUUGAACAAAUUUCUUCUGCCAAAAUUGCCACCUUACACCAUCAAUUGGUCUAUAGGCUUCAAAAUCAUGCCUUAGAUCUACCCACUCCUGAACAUCAUUCUGAUACCCUCAUGGUCUUAGCCGAAUCUGACCAGAUCCCAACCAUAAUCCAGAUCCCCAGACAAAUUCCCCGUCAUGAGCUCAUCAAGCUUAUGCCGCUUGAAUGGAUCUCCAACUAUGAACAGUUCCAUAACAAUACAGCUCCAAUUCAGACCUCUGAAAGCAUGUUUGAAAGACGCCAAGAUGGAACAGUUCGAAUGACUUUUAAACCACCUCCAAGUGCUCCACAAGAGCCUCCUCAGCUCUCAUUUACCUAUUCUUCAAUGAUCACAGCGGUUCAGACAGCCCAUGAAGAUCUGCCCAUUACAGGGUUCAAAUAUGAAGGUUACCCUGUUUAUCCAGCCAAGCACAAUGGCCAUUUCCUAUGGGAUGCCCCUGGCUCAGGCAUGUGUGACCCAAAUUGUCUCUGCUGGGAUGAUUGGGAAAAAGAUGACGAUUAUGCCACCACAAGGAAAAAGAAACCCAAAAAGAAAAAACCUCCAGUUUCCUGCCACCACUAUGAUCCCAAACCACCACAAGAUCCUCCACCUCCAUCAGCUCCAUUACCCUUUUACCAAAAAGAACUCAAAUGGAUUACAAAGCAUUGCAAAUCUGAGACUCCAUCACCACUUUUACUUUCAACACCCCCACUGGCUUGUAUGAUGUUUUCAUCCACUUCUUCAGACUAUUCUUCCUCUUUUCCCCCUUUAGAUACUUAUACAGAUUCCCAACGCAAUGUUGUGUCCAAACCCUUUAUUUCUUCACCAAUUACCUCAUCCGGUCACCUAGAACCUCCCAAACCUUUUGAAUCAGUCCUCAACUGGCAAACCCAAAAUGCCAGAGUACAGAAUGAUACUUUGGUGAAUAUCAAUUCCAAAGUUAAGAAAAUCAGUUUACAAACUGAACAACUUGAGACAAAAGUUGACUCCAUCUCUGCACAGAUGCAGCAGAUCCACUAAAAUCUCCAGUCCAGAAUUGCUCAACUCGAUUAUGAGUUACGAGCUAUGCUUGCCCAGUGCUAUUAUGGCCCAGAAUUUGAUAAAAAAGAUAAGGAGAUCAGACGUUUAAAAGCUGAGCCUGACCAGAUUGAAUCUGCAAAAUAGCGACCUACCCUUUUCACCACAUCACCUCAUAUUCCUUCCAUUGGCCCAACUUACCACCAUUUUGCCUCUAUGCUUUCCCCCAUCAGACAAUAUGAUCCUUCCAAGUUAUUUGGCAUGACUCUUACUCUUUUUCGGGAUAAUCCUUUACCACCACCACCUAAACCUAAACCAAAGCCUAAAUCUCAACCGCGACCCGUCACAUUCCAUCCCUCAUCCAUUACCAUCCCUGGCCAACAUUCUCCUGGUCCUACUCCAGCAUCGUCACCAGUACCUCCACCACCAACUGAAUCCCAACCACCUUCUCAAUCCAAGGAUAAACAACCCAUGCACCAGUUUAGUGCCCAUACAGUCGCCCACUUUUCUACCACAGAUGACCAAACUUCUGAUUCCAAUCUAGCUGUUUCUGAUAGCCAUACUGAGACUGACACAGAAUCUUCAGUAUCCACUAGUGAUUCUGAAAAGUCCUAUGCUGAUAUCCCAACCACCUCCUCAAGGCCAAACCUCUCAUACAGAACCAUAUGUUGACAUUCCCUCCGAGGUUGAGGAAGAAAUGCUUGAAUCUUCAGCCACACAUCAACCUCCUCCAGCUCAAACCCAGACCGGUUCCACCAGUCAAAAAUCAUCGAAUGGUCUCUGGUUCACAUUUGAUGAUCUUCCAUCUCAUAAAUGGCGUGAUUGCCUUAAUGAAAUGUCUACCUGGAUUGACCUCCAAAUGUUACGUCCAGGAGCCACAACCCAAUUAGUCCUUCGAGAAUUUGCUACUCGUUUUACGGGUGCUCUAAGAGAUUGGUUUGAUUCUUUAGGCCGAUAUCGCCAAUUACAGUUUGUUGAUCUACCAGAAGUCUCAAGUGCCCUUGUGGUUCUCCAUGAUCAAUUCCUUGGAGACCCCUCUGCAGUCUUUGAAGCUGCACGAUGAGACUAUCUCAACAUGAAAUGCUGUUCCCUUAAUGCUAAGGAUAUUGAUUUCCAUUACAAACGCAUGUCCCUGCUGUUCUAUAAGCUUAAUGGAUUCAAUGAGCCGACAUUAAAGCAUGUAUUUCUGGCUUCCCUUCCAUAUGAACUCCAACCAGAUAUACAACGACAACUCACAGCAUCCAAUCUUUCCCUUGACAACAUCUCUUUUGGCAAAAUCUUCCAGCUUUCAAAGAACUGUUGAAAGACAAAGAGCCAUUUCGGAGUGCUUGCAAAAAGCCUUAUUUGCAGAUCAAAUGCAAAAAGAAAAAGGAUUGUGAUUGCAGUCCUAAAAAGAAACGGCAUUUUAAGAAAUUCAGAAAUCCAGAAUUUUCAUCCAGACCUCGUCGAUCUAGAAAGCCUUACAGAUUCUUCAGAAAGAAGUCAUCCUCUUCCAGAGAUUUCAAAAGACAAAAAUCAAGCAGAUGUUUUAUCUGCAAAAGAAAAGGUCAUUAUGCCAAAGAUUGUCCCAACAAGCGAGAAAAAUCUAUUCGGUUAGUUGAGCAUCUCCAAGCCACUACAGAUUAUUCUCCAGAAAAUGAUGAACUGGAAUUCUAUUUCUCUGAGCAAGAUGAACCCAAUGAUGAAACUGUGUUCGCCCUACAAAAUUCCUCUGAUGACUCAGAAAGUGAUCAGUCCCAAGUCAUUUUCCAUCAACAGUUACUGUCCCUUGACACUAUUGUCCCUAUACCUUCCAUCAAACUCUAAAUUUUACCCUCAAAAUUUCAAAGGCCCAUUCCAGUAAUUGGUCUUAUCGACACUAGUGCCCAGCGCAGUAUGUUAAACCCCCAUAUUCUCCCACUAGACCACUGGAUAGAAUCUGAAGAACAUUUCAAAGCUGUUAAUGGCAAACUCUUCACCACUUUUUUUAUUACCAAAAAGCUCAUUGGUAUUCAAAUUUUCCCCAAUUGUGUCAUUUGGACCAAAGUUAUCGGUUCAACCCUUCCUAAUAAGGAUAUCUUGUUAGGUUUUGAUAUCCUUCACCAGCUCAAACACCUCCAGAUCAUUCCCACUAGAAUCCGAGUCAAGUCCAUGUUCAAACCAUUUACAAACAUUCUGAAGCUCUACAAUCUGUCUGAAACUCCUCCGUCAUAUCAGGAUAUUUCUACCAAACUUUUGAGUUUCUGUCCAGAGUCCCAUAUUGAGUUCACCCAUCCAACUCCAUUGUGGAAAAACGAGUCUUUCUUCAUUAAGUUACCAUUCAAACUAAAUGAAGAUAUUAACCCAACCAAAGCUACCUAUCCAGGAAUGAGUCCUUCUGACUUACUCCUAGCCCAACAGGAAUGUUCCCAAUUGUUAGCCCAAGGCCUUAUCGAACCCACAAAUUCUCAAUGGGCUUGCCAAGCCUUUUAUGUUGAUAAACAUUCUGAGAUUGUUCGAGGAAAGAAACGUCUCGUCAUUGACUACCAGCCAUUAAACAUGUUUUUGCAAGAUGACAAGUUUCCUUUACCCCGUCGACAAAGCAUGUUUACUUUUCUCAAAAAUGCCCAGAUCUUUUCAAAAUUUGAUUUAAAAUCAGGUUUCUGGCAAUUAGGCAUUGAACCCUCUGAACGGUACAAAACUGCUUUUUGUAUCCCAAAUGCCCAUUUUCAGUGGACAGUCCUUCCUUUCGGCCUCAAAACAGCCCCAUCCAUUUUUCAAAAAUCCAUGGUCAAAAUCUUUCAGCCAAUUCUGCAUCAUGCAUUGAUUUACAUUGAUGAUAUCUUGCUUUUUUCAGGAUCACAUGAUGAACAUCGCCAGUUGUUAACUCAGUUCUAUGAUAUUGUCCAAAGUCAUGGAAUCAUGUUAUCGACAAAAAAAAGCACCAUUGCUACAGACAAUAUUGAAUUUCUUGGUAUGGUCAUAAAAGAUGAUCAUUAUUAGCUAGGAAAACAUAUUGCCCAAGAGUUGCUCCACUUUCCAAAUUAGCAACUUUCCAAAAAGCAAGUCUAACAGUUUCUCGGCAUCAUCAAUUACAUCAGAGACUUUAUCCUACAUGUGGAUCACUACACUCAUCACCUCUCAGCUUUAUUGAAAAAAAAGCCCCCAGAGUGGAAUGCUGACCACACAACUGCUGUCACUACUCUCAAGCAAAUUGCGCAAAAUCCGCCUCCAUUAAAGUUGAUUACUGAUGGAAAGCGCAUAUUGCAGACAGAUGCAAGUGAUGAAUCAUGGGGUGCCAUUCUCCUCGAAGACAUUCAUGGAAAAGAACACUUUAUCGCUUACGCUAGUGGAUAAUUUUCUGACACAUAGAAGCAUUAUCAUGGCAUGUUCAAAGAAAUUUUAGCGGUAAAGAAUGGCAUCAAAAAGUUUGAGUAUCAUUUGAUUGGACACCACUUUCUCAUCUGAAUGGACAGUUCAGCCUUCCCCAAUAUUUUCAAUUUCAAAGGUAAACCUAUUCCCGAAAAAAUGUUACUCAGAUUAAAAGAUUGGUUUGCUACAUAUGACUUUUCAGUCAAGCAUAUAAAGGGAUCCCAAAACCUCAUCCAUGAUAUGCUCUCCAGACUCUCAAAACCAGAGAAACCUCUAACCAUGUUUUCCACUACAUAUCACAUUCCGAUCAUCUCUAUGGCUACAUCAUUACCCCCAGAAGCUCUCACCAAAAAAACUUUUCCCUUCAACAAAAACUUCUCCUCUGUCUUUGCCAUCCAAGAAUUUACAAAGAAAGCUCUUUUUCGUUUCUUCAUAAAAGCCUACCUUGUCACCGAACCCUUUCCUUUUUCCACCUUCCACCUAGAAAAUAUGUUCCUUACAGGUCUAACCCUUGAUCCAUCCAGAGAAACCAUUGAAGAUGUGUUAUGGUACAUCUGGUGCCUAACAGUCCUUUAUGCCACUAAGUUAGUCCUACCAAUUACUCCCACAUUGGAACACCUCCUUGACCCAGACAAAGCCACCUCUCUUACCUGGACAUUACUUGAAUGGUUCUCCCCAAUACCAUAGUGGAGAAAGAAGCUCCAGUAACUGUCAGAGAUUUACAGUCUUGAACGAAUGCCUGCCUCAGAAGCACAAAUGUUCACAUCAGUCUUUAUCAUUCACAGGCUAUACUUCCAACAUCCAGAUACAAAACUCUUUUGGACUCAAGACCAGGUAUAUGAAUGGUUUACUGCACCACAUCUCAUUGUCAUUGAAAAUGAAAUCCAAUCCACCUUGCACAACUACCUUUGUUAGUUAAACCACCAAACUCCGCCACACAAAGACAUCUUCUACACCUCUUUAGGACCUCAACAUGACCUCAUCACGAUUCCUACUCUAUCCGCCAUAUCCAAACCAAAGUCCACAGGUAUCAUUAUCAAGGAAGAAAAACCAGACUACACUGACUUCCUGCUCCAAAAUUCCCAAGACCCAUGGGAUGCAUUUCUCCCUCAAAGUCAACACCUCCACCAAUUUCCCCAACCGACAAUGGAUGAACCCGGACCCUCUCAACCAGGAUCCUCCUUCCAACCAGCACCACCAACUUAACCUACCAAAGUUAACAAAGCCACCCAAACUUCCCCUCAGUAUACUCCAAAGUGUACUCCCAGAGACUAUAAUUGCCCUGGUCCACCAUGCCGUGGUCCCUCCUGUAAACAUCUAAAGCUCUCCAAAACCUUUUUCCCAAAGCAUACGGACCCAGAUGCAAUGGACAGCUCAUUCGACGAUGAUUACCUGAAUCUCUCCUCUCCAUAAAGUAGUUUGUCUUGUUGUAAUAAUUGUGUUUUACUUUAUGGUUUUGUCUUGUAUAAUUAUUGCACUUUGCUUUUACUUUAAGCUUUUGCUUUUGCUUUUGUCAAAGUCAUGCUUUAAUUAUUAAAGCACUUUGUCUCUUUGUAAUAAUUAAAGGUGUGUCAUGAUGUAACUUUUACUUUUUCUUUUGUAAAAUAUAGGGAUCAUGUCCUAUCUUCUCUGAGAUUUCUCCUAUAUAUAGGAAUCUCCCAUUUGCUUGUAACAGAGAGAAGCUUGUAAAAGUUUGAAGCAAUAAACUCGUAUUUUUCCUCAAACCAUGAAUUUCUAAACUCUCCUCUCUCUCUCUGCAAAUGAAGUUCUAAAGAAAGAAAAAGAAUAAAGAAUUAAAUUUGUUCAUUUCGAAACCUAAGGAAGUAUGCUCUGCACUUGCCUUAUUGCAAGGAUCUUGUGCAUCAGAAAACUUUUGAUCGUUUUCUUAUCUGGUUUGGUACCCUGUUUUGGACUAAAGGAAAGUAUGUUUUGGGUUAUAUAACCCGAGAUGAAAAAUAUUUUAGAAGUUUUUCUGAUUCCUCAUUUGAGUAUAUCGACGGGAAACCGACGAUGUAAAUUCCAGAGGUGAUCCUGAAUAGGCACUAGUCUGGUUUGCACUGUCGGAUAACAAGUCACGUACCCUAAGUGGUAUCAGAGCAAUUAUAGUUAGUAAAAAAAAUACAAUGUUUAGCUAUAUAUUAAAUUAAUUAGUUUAUUAAUUAAUAAUAGAAUUAUUAAUUUAAAUAAAUAUUAACAAAUGUAAGAAUAAGUCAUUUAAUUGAAAACCUAGUUCAAUAAUCUAAAAAGAAUUUAAAAUAUUAUGGACUUACAUGUUAAAAUUUAACAACUUUUAAUUUUUCUUAUUUUGUAUAAAUAAUAGGGGCAUUUAAUGUUAAUAACCUAACAAAUGCAUCUAAGCCGUUGUACAAUUUUUGGAUUGAAUCUAAAAGUGAAUUUGAAAAAGACAAAAAAUGGGGUACCAACACCAUAGGUAAUAUAGCUGGACCCAUCACUUCAUAACUCCUUUUUCAUUUUUUUAUGAAUUGAGUUAUCGUAACAUUUGUCUUGAUUUACAUGGGCCUAAUUUUAUUUGUUUGGACACCAAUUUUGGCCCUUUAUCAUUUUUUUUUUAAAUUGUAACGUUAUCCACUCUUGCUGUCUUCCACAUACCAAAUCUUGUCUUCAUCUCUACAUAUUUUUUUGCUCCAUUAUCCUUUCUCCUUCUCCGGCAGACCAAACAAAGGCCGUCAAUAUUUUUCUGCACUUUUUCUCUACCUAUGGAUUCCACAGAGCCGGCAGCAGAUAUAGCCAUAGACCUCUCUCCCAUGAUAAAAGUAUACAAAGAUGGCAAAGUAGAAAGGCUCAAAGGAAACGACAUCGUUCCUGCAUCAUCUGAGCCCAAAACAAACGUUCAUUCCAAAGACAUUGUGCAUUCACCAGAAAACAAUCUAUGUGCUCGGCUUUACAUUCCAAACCAAAGACAAAACAAAAAACUUCCCCUUCUUGUUUAUUUUCAUGGCGGAGGCUUUUGCAUCGAAACCGCCUUUUCUCCCACUUACCACAAUUACCUCAACACCUUAGUCUCUGAAGCUAACGUCAUCGCAGUCUCGGUUGAUUAUCGGAGAGCCCCGGAGAAUCCUGUCCCUUGCGCUCAUGAUGAUUCAUGGACUGCACUCAAGUGGGUUGCUUCCCAUGUUAACGGAGAAGGCCCUGAAGAUUGGCUCAACUGUUUCGCUGAUUUCCAGCGAGUGUUUUUUUCUGGUGACAGUGCUGGCGCUAACAUAGCUCAUCACAUGGGCAUGAGACAUGGUCGAGAAAUUCUCGAUGGUGUUAAUGUUGUUGGCAUUGUUUUAAUUCAUCCGUAUUUUCUGGGCAGAGAAGCUGUUGGUAAUGAAACAGCUGACGCUAAGACAAGAGACUGGGUCGCGGGAUUGUGGAGAUUGACUUGUCCAAGUAGCACAAGUGGGUGUGAUGAUCCGUGGAUUAAUCCUGUCGUUGCGGGUUCGGACCUAGCGAGCCUGGGAUGCGCCAGGAUGCUGGUAUUUGUUGCGGAGAAUGAUUUUCUGAGAUCUAGAGGAUGGUUUUAUUAUGACAAGUUGAAGGAGAGCGGGUGGAGGGGCAAUGUGGAGAUUGUUGAGUCCAAAGGAGAGCAACAUGUGUUCCAUUUGAUAAAUCCCACAUGUGAAAAUGCCGUGGCCAUGCUUGAGAGAAUUGCUUCUUUCUUGAAUCAUCAGGAGAAGGCCUGAAUUCAUAUGCCUCUAACUAUAUUUAUAAUUUUCGAUUUCCUUUUUUUCUCCAUUUUUUUUUUCUGUCAGCUGCUAUUUUUACGGGAAUAUAUAUAUAUAUUUACCAACUUCAACCGUCCAAAUGAAAUCUAUUAAUUAAAAAAAGUAUGACAAUUCUCAGAAAAUCAAUUGAACACAGAAAUUAAUAUUGAGUUGGACUAUUGCCAUCCCUCGAAUGCCCCUCGUACAACCAUUUUUAAGAAUAAUCUCUAUUUAAUUCCACAAAUAACCUUCCAAUUAUUUUUCUCAAGAAAAUUUAAGUGAACCUCAUCUCUCUCUCUACGAAACUCUUCUAAACUCAAAGACAUUUUUCUUUCAUUUUAAAUUUAUAGUGAUUGCACUUAUUCAACACCGCAAGCUCAGAGCGUGAACUUAUCAAAUUCAGUUUUGGAGGGAUUUCUUUGCACACGACUAAAUCCAUAUUUUUAUUCUUUGAACAAGAAUAAGACUUUUUUUUCUUUUUCUUUUUUAUCAGGAACAAUUGUAUACUUUUAUGGUGCGUUUACUUAAUGGGAAUGCGAAUGGGGUGGAAUGAGAAUAGGUUGUGAAUGAGAAUGAGUUGGAUGAGAAUGAGGAAUAAGAAUGAGAUCUCAAUGUUUACUGUGGCAAAAAUAAAUGGGAAUGUGGAAUGUGCUGGAAAUGCUAUUGAUGUGUUUACUUGGCCAAAAUAAAUGGGGAAUGAGGGAGUGAAAAUGAAGAAUCAAUUUACCAAAAUACCCAUAGGUAUUAAAUAAUUAAUAAAAAAUAAUUAAUUUAUCAUUAUUAACAAUAUUAUCAUUAUUGUUUUUUGUUGUUGUUGUUGUUGUUAUUAUUAUUAUUAUUAUUAUUAUUAUUAUUAUUAUUAUUCUUAUUAAAAAUAAUUUUGUUAUUCAAUUUUAUUAACUUUAUUAUUUUAGUUAUUAUUAAUUAUUAUUAUUUUUUAUUAAUAUUAUCAUUAUUAACAUUUAUUAUUAUUAAUAUUAUUAUUAACUUUAUUAUAUUAUUUAUUAUUAAUUAUUGUUAUUACUAUUUUUAUUAAUAUUAUCAUUAUUAACAUUUAUUAUUAUUAAAUUUAAAUUUUAUUAACUUUAUUAUUUUAGUUAUUAUUAAUUAUUGUUAUUAUUAUUUUUAUUAAUAACAAUGAUAAAUGUUAAUAAUGAUAAUAUUAAUAAAAAUAAUAAUAACAAUAAUUAAUAAUAACUAAAAUAAUAAAGUUAAUAAAAUUUAAUAAUAAUAACAAUAACAACAAUAAGGAUAAUAUUGUUAAUAAUGAUAAAUUAAUUAUUUUUAUUAAUUAUUAUUUUUAUCAUUAUUUUAUUGUUAAUAAAAUAUUAAAUAAUUUGGUUGUUGAUCAGAAGGAUAAUUUGCAUGCCACUUAUUCAAGAGAUGUGGAGCCAAGCCAAAUCAGAGUUGGUGAGAAAUAAAGAGCGUGGUUUAGAUAAAUCCACAAAGAAGGCAGUCUUUACCAAACAAAAUUUUCUACUAUCUUCAACAAAAACUGAUACCAUUUUUAAAAUUACAGUUUUAGUUAUGAUAAUUUAAGAAUUAAAAUCUUACCAAUCCUCAUAUUAUCUUGUCCCAAAAAACAAAAACAAAAAAUUGAAAGAGAGUGGUUUGGCACUUACAAAACUAUUACAAGGUGACGUGUCAAUAAUCAACUCUACUAACUCUUUUAAUUUGCUCAAUUAUUGUUAAUUAUUUAAUUAUAUAUUUCACUUCAUAACUCCUUUUUCAUUUUUUUCUGAAUUGAGUUAUCGUAACAUUUGUCUUGAUUUACAUGGGCCUAAUUGUAUUUGUUUGAACACCAAUUUUGGCCCUUUAUCAAUUUUUUUUUUAAAAUUGUAACGUUAUCCACUCUUGCUGUCUUCCACAUUUGUCUUCAUCUCUAUAUUUUUUUUUUGCACCAUUAUCCUCUCUCCUUCUCCGGCAGACCAAACAAAGCCCGUCAAUAUUUUUCUGCACUUUUUCUCUACCCAUGUAUUCCACAGAGCCGGCAGCAGAUAUAGCCAUAGAAGUUGGAAUUUGAAGAUCGAAUGAAGAAGAAAAAGAGAAAUUGUCUUCCAAUUAUUAAUGCAAAAUCAAAUUACAGAAAUGAGCUCAGCUUAGUAUUUAUAGUGGAAUCUAAUACUUGCUGAGUACUCUAAUUACAGCUAAGCAAUGUAACUAAUGAGUAACUAACUCUGAUCUAACUACAUUCAAUACAACUCAUAAGUACUGAUUUGUUAACUAAUUGCUGCAUAAUCCAACUGCAUGGGAAUCUCUUCAUAACAGUUUUGCCAUCUGGAGCUUCCCAACUUCUCACGUGUGCCUUUCUCUUUCAUUUCCAGACUAGCUACUAGAUUUACAGCUGGCUUGAUUCCAGCUGGCACUCCAACGUGUGUUGCAUUUGAUUCAGCUUCAUCAGCUAAUUCAACACCCCUUCUCAAACUUAAGUCCUUUGGAAAGACUUUAAGUUUGCUUCUGAAGAAGCUGAAUUUAGGAUAUGUAAGAGGUUUAGUUAAUAUAUCAGCAACUUGAUCAUUUGUAGACACAAAAGCAAUGUCAACCUCUUUCCUCUCAACUUUGUCUCUCACAAAGUGAAUAUCUAUUUCAAUAUGUUUAGUCUUAGAAUGCAUUACUGGAUUUGUGGCUAUAGCAGCUGCACUUGUGCUGUCACUUAGUAGUAGUGGAGUACUCUGAAGUCUGAUGUCAAGUUCCUUAAGAAUUGAGCAGAUCCAAGUUAACUCUGAGCAAGCCAAAGCCAUAGCUCUGUAUUCUGACUCAGCUGAUGAUUUGGAAAUUAUGCUCUGCUUCUUUGAACUCCAGCUGAUUAAAUUUUCACCUAGAAAAACACAGUAGCCACUAGUUGAUCUUCUGUCGUCAAUGUCACUACCCCAAUCUGCAUCAGUAUACAUUACAAGAUCUAGAGAAUCAGAUCUCUUGAAAGUUAAGCCAUAAUGUAUGGUUUCCUUGAGAUACCUCAGUACUCGUUUGCAAGCAAGCCAGUGAGGUUGUAAAGGGUUAGCCAUGAAUUGACUUAGCUUGUUUACAGCAUAAGCAAUUUCAGGCCUUGUUAGCACUGCAUACUGUAAUCCUCCAAUGGCUUUCCUGUAUUGAGUUGCAUUUGUAAAAUCUUCACCCAUGUUUUUGCUAAGCUUUUCUGUUGUGGCCAGAGGAGUAUCAGUUCCAUUGCAUUCUUUCAAUUCAAACUUGGCAAGUAGAUCUUUUAUGUACUUUGACUGGGAUAGUACUAAGGUAUCAUCAUUUCUAAUCACUUCUAUGCCAAGAAAGAAAUUAAGAUUCCCCAAAUCUUUAAGAGCAAAGGUGCUGCUAAGGUUACUGAUAAGCUGUUCUAUUUCAGCAUUAUUGUUUCCAGUCACUAUUAUAUCAUCAACAUAAAUCAACAGCAUAAUCACAUCAUUCCCAUUUCUUUUAAAAAAUAAAGAUGUGUCUGAUCUUGUUCUAGUAAAUUUCCAAGACUCCAGAACUGACCUGAGUUUAUCAAACCAUGCUCUUGGUGCCUGCUUCAAUCCAUAGAGUGCCUUUGUUAGCUUACACACAUGAUCUGGAUGCUCUGAAUUUUCAAAACCUUCUGGCUGAGGCAUGUAAACAGUUUCACUUAGUUCCCCAUUGAGAAAAGCAUUGUUGAUAUCUACUUGUCUCAGCUUCCAGUUGUUUAUGACAGCAAGACUUAAUAUAAUCCUUAUGGUUGCUGCCUUGACAACAGGACUGAAAGUUUCUUGAUAAUCAACCCCUUCUGUUUGUAAAAACCCCUUUGCCACCAAACGAGCUUUGUAUUUGUUGAUAGAUCCAUCUAAAUUCUGUUUCACUCGAUAGAUCCAUUUGUUCCCAACCAACUUCAUAUUUUGUUGAGGAGGAACUAAACACCAUGUCUGAUUUCUCAUUAAAGCACUGAACUCUUCCUGCAUUGCUUGUUUCCACUGAUGAUUAUUCAAAGCUUCAGCUACACUUGAAGGUGUGUCAAGAGACAGGGACUUUUCAGUGUUGUACAGUUUUGGUUUGAAUAUGCCAUUUUUGGCUCUAGUUGUCAUAGGAUGUGAAGGUCCAGGUUGAUAUGUAGGCUGAGGUGUUUCUGGAAUGUGAGUGUUUGGUUCAGAAUUAUUUGAGAAAGAAAUUUGUGGGGACUCAGGUGUGCUGAUUUCAUUGUCAUGCAUUGAAUUUAUUUGAUCAAUGUUGUUGUCAGGAUUUUGUUCAUUAGAGGGAUCAUCUAAGUUAGUUGUGUCUUCUAAUGAACUUAUACUUGCUGCUGUUCCCUCAUAAUUUUGGGUUUCUGAAGGAAAUGAUAUUGAGAUAAACUUGCUAAAUGUGUUUGCAGGUUCUGGUGUAUGAGUGGACUUUGAGACUAUGAAACUUGGAUCAUUUUGGAAGGGGAAAGAAUUCUCAUUAAAGUUGACAUGUGCAGCAAUAUAAAUUCUGCCAUUUGGAUUUAGACACAGAUAACCCUUGUGCAAGUUACUGAAACCUAAAUAAACACAUUUUGAGGUAUGAAAAUCAAACUUAUGACUAUUAUAUGGUCUUAGGAAAGGGUAACAUUCACAACCAAAGGUCUUGAUUUGAGAAUAACUUGGUUUCUUAGAAUAAAGGGCCUCAAAAGGUGUUUUGUGGUUCAAUGUGGGUGUACUGAUUCGGUUGACAAGAUAAGUAGCAUUAUAGAAUGCUUCCCACCAAAACUUAAGAGGUAUAUUAGCUUGAGCAAGGAGUGUCAAUCCAGUUUCAACAAGGUGUCUGUGUUUCCUCUCAGCCUUUCCAUUUUGGUGAUGUGUAUAAGGGCAGGAAUAUCUUAUAGCUAUUCCUUCAUUUCUGAGAUAAGGUUCAAAGGCUCUGUAUUCCCCUCCCAUGUCACACUGAAGUGUUUUAAUUUUCAGCUCUAGGCUUUUUUUAAUUUGAUUUUUAAAGAUAAUGAAAGCUGACAGUGCUUGAGAUUUACUAGCUAAUCCAUAAAUCCAGGUGUAGUUUGUUUUGUCAUCAAUGAAAGCAAUGUAAUAUUUGAACCCUUGGUUUGAAAUGGUUGGUGCUGGACCCCAAAGAUCACUAUGAAUAAUCUCAAGAGCAGUAGAUGAUUUUGAUUCACUACUUUUGAAAGACAAUCUGUGCAUCUUCCCAUAUUGACAGGCUUUGCAAAAUGACAACUCAGACAUUUUAUUACCAAACGAAAUAUUACAAGCUGACAAUGUUUUCUUAAGAUCAGAAACAUUUGGAUGACCUAAUCUUAUGUGCCAAAGAUCAAGAGUUUUGUUGAUUCUUUGGUCUUUACAGCUUGUACAAAAUUCUUUAGAAACAACAGACAUCAUAGACUCAGGUUUAUUUAUUUUACAAACUGAAAGUAGACUAGAAUGUGAAACUGAAGAUAACAAAACGGACUUGAUUUGAGAGUGGUUUAGAGGCAAGUUCAGCAGCUUGUACAGUCCAUCUUUAGCCACACCUUUCAUGAGAACAAUCCCCCUUCUCUUGUCCUUAACAACACAAUAUGUUUUAUCAAAUUCAAUGCAUACAUUGUUAUCUUUCAAGAGUUUGGAUAUGCUAAUUAGAUUUUUGGUUAUUUGUGGUACAAAGAGAAUCUGAUUUAGUUUAAUGUAUUUCUGGAUAUCAGGUUCAAGUGUGCCAAGCAAUGAAUAACCAACAGAAACAAUUUCAAGUUUUGAACCAUUACCUACUGCAAGCUAGUGAUUUCCUUUGUACUCAGAAUUUAUGCUUAAGUUGUUGAGAUCAUUAGUGACAUGAUCUGUUGCCCCGCUGUCAAGAUACCAGCCACCACUUUUUGUUUCUGCACCUUCAGCUACAUAAGCACUUCUUUUGUUCCCUGGAAAAUUAGGCACAUAGUUUUUCUUGAACCUAUACCAGCAGUUUACAGCAGUGUGAUUCUUCCUGAAGCAGAUCUGACAUGGUCCUUUAGGUGUUUCUUCAUCAAUGUGAGCUUUUCCUUUCAUUUUCUCCUGUGCUGGAUUAAAAUUGCCUCCACCAGAAUUACCUCCAUAUUGCCUUCCAUUCUGAUUGGUAACAUUUCCAGUGUUAUUGAAAUUUGGUUGCCAAUUUCUCCUCUGGUUUCCCCUGUAGUAAGCAAUGUUUGCCUGAAAAUCCAUUCCACUAACAGAAUUCUGAUGUUCGAUCCUGUUUUCUUGGCUCAACAGCAUGCCAUAAACCUCUGAUGGAGUUAUGCUUUCUGAUCUAGCAUUUAUUGUAGCAACAAUCGGAUCAUACUCAGGUCCAAGCCCAGCAAGUAAACACAACACAAAAUCAUCAUUACUCAUAUGAUUUCCGGCAGCUCUCAGUGAAUCCAGAUUCACCUUCAUCUUAAUAUAAUAUUCAUGAAUGCUCAUCGAUCCCUUUCUAGUUGUCUGGAUCUGAGUUCUUAAGUGAAGAACUCUUGAUCGAGACCUAGCACCAAACUGUUCAGAAAGUGUUUGCCAUACCUCUAGAGAUGAGCUUGCUCCAAUGACAGCACUUAACACUUCUUCACUCAGAGUUGAAAGCAGCCAGCUCAUGAGUUGUUGAUCAACUUUUCUCCAGAUCUGAAACUGCGGAUUUACCACAGUGAUCACAGUUUGAUCGCUAUCGACAUUAACAAUCAUUCUACUUGGAGGAUUCUUAGUAUUAUCAAUCAGAUCUUCAAGCUCGUUUGCAUUGAUCGUAGCAAUAACUUGAGAUCGCCAUAGCAGGUAAUUGUUGUUUGUAAGCUUGAUCGGAGUAUUGAAAAUCAGAGAGUUAACUGAUGUGUUGUUGAUUGAGUUUGUGAUUGGAUUUGCAGUUGAGCUUGAAGCUCGAGUGCUUGUAGCUUGAAAUUCAUUGUUUGCCAUUUUUAACCACAAGCUCUGAUACCAAGUUGGAAUUUGAAGAUCGAAUGAAGAAGAAAAAGAGAAAUUGUCUUCCAAUUAUUAAUGCAAAAUCAAAUUACAGAAAUGAGCUCAGCUUAGUAUUUAUAGUGGAAUCUAAUACUUGCUGAGUACUCUAAUUACAGCUAAGCAAUGUAACUAAUGAGUAACUAACUCUGAUCUAACUACAUUCAAUACAACUCAUAAGUACUGAUUUGUUAACUAAUUGCUGCAUAAUCCAACUGCAUGGGAAUCUCUUCAUAACAGUUUUGCCAUCUGGAGCUUCCCAACUUCUCACGUGUGCCUUUCUCUUUCAUUUCCAGACUAGCUACUAGAUUUACAGCUGGCUUGAUUCCAGCUGGCACUCCAACGUGUGUUGCAUUUGAUUCAGCUUCAUCAGCUAAUUCAACAAUAGACCUCUCUCCCACGAUAAAAGUAUACAAAGAUGGCAAAGUAGAAAGGCUCAAAGGAAACGACAUCGUUCCUGCAUCGUUUGAUCCCAAAACACCUUAGUCUCUGAAGCUAACGUCAUCGCAGUCUCGGUUGAUUAUCGGAGAGCGCCGGAGAAUCCUGUCCCUUGCGCUCAUGAUGAUUCAUGGACUGCACUCAAGUGGGUAUCUUCCCAUGUUAACGGAGAAGGCCCUGAAGAUUGGCUCAACUGUUUCGCUGAUUUCCAGCGAGUGUUUUGUUCUGGUGACAGUGCUGGCGCUAACAUAGCUCAUCACAUGGGCAUGAGACAUGGUCGAGAAAUUCUCGAUGGUGUUAAUGUUAUUGGCAUUGUUUUAAUUCAUCCGUAUUUUCUGGGCAGAGAAGCUGUUGGUAAUGAAACAGCUGACGCUAAGAAAAGUGACUGGGUCGCGGGAUUAUGGAGAUUGACUUGUCCAAGUAGCACAAGUGGGUGUGAUGAUCCGUGGAUUAAUCCUGUCGUUGCGGGUUCGGACCUAGCGAGCCUGGGAUGCGCCAGGAUGCUGGUAUUUGUUGCGGAGAAUGAUUUUCUGAGAUCUAGAGGAUGGUUUUAUUAUGACAAGUUGAAGGAGAGGGGGUGGAGGGGCAAUGUGGAGAUUGUUGAGUCCAAAGGAGAGCAACAUGUGUUCCAUUUGAUAAAUCCCACAUGUGAAAAUGCCGUGGCCAUGCUUGAGAGAAUUGCUUCUUUCUUGAAUCAUCAGGAGAAGGCCUGAAUUCACAUGCCUCUAACUAUAUUUAUAAUUUUCGAUUUCCUUUUUUUCUCCAUUUUUUUUUUCUGUCAGCUGCUAUUUUUACCGGAAUAGCAACUUCAACCGUGCAAAGGAAAUUUAUUUACCAACUUCAACUCUAACUAUAUUUAUAAAUAUAUAUAUAUAUAUAUAUAUAUUUACCAACUUCAACCGUGCAAAGGAAAUUUAUUAAUUAAAAAAAGCAUGGCAAUUCUCAGAAAAUCAAUUGAACACAGAAAUUAAUAUUGGGUUGGACUAUUGUCAUCCCUCGAAUGUCCUCGUAAAACCACUUUUAAGAAUAAUCUCUAUUUAAUUCCACAAAAAACCUUCCAAUUAUUUUUCUCAAGAAAAUUUCAGUGAACCUCAUCUCUCUCUCUCUACGAAACUCUUCUAAACUCAAUGACAUUUUUCUUUCAUUUUAAAUUUAUAAUGAUUGCUCUUAUUCAACACCGCAAGUCCAGAGCUUGAACUUAUCAAAUUCAGUUUUUGAGGGAUUUCUUUUCACACCACUAAAUCCAUAUUUUUAUUCUUUUAACAAAAUGAGACCUUUUUUUCUUUUUCUUUUUUAUCACAAACAAUUGUAUACUUUUAGAGUUAUUUUGUUUUACAUUAGUCUUUGUCUUUUAUUUAAAAUUAUUCUUUUGAAGAAUUUGUUUGAUGAUAGACAAUGAAUAGUUUGUAACUGAAAUUCUAUAUAUAGGUCAUAAACAACAAACAUGAUUGCUGACAAUAUUCUUGAAGAAGAUGGGUGCAUUUAAUUAAAUUUUAUAUAAAAUAAUUCAAAUUAAGGGUUUGCUCAGAUUUUUAAAGGGGUGCCAAUAGCUCCAUUGCUUAAUUUUAUAAAAGGGUGUCUGUACUAGAAAGGAUAUUGUUUGGGGAAGAAAUUGAAAAUCAAUAAUGUAGCACUAUGUGUUGAUGAAAAAUUUUAUGAUUAAAAAUAAUCACAGAGGGUACCUAACUUACACUGGGUACAUUUGAUAAUUGAGUUGGUACGUGGAGUAUUUCAUAUUAGAAGUAAGAUGGUAAAGAAAAGUCUCUAAAAUAUCAACCAUGAGAAAGAGAAUAUUUGAUCAAUCUAUUUAUGCCCUUGAUUGAUUUAUUCUCUUUGUUUUGUUGUGUUUCUUGUUCUGGCAAAAUCUAUCGCAGCUGUUGCUUUUAUUAUUUUAUAAUUUUUUUUUGGGUGGUUUUGUGUAGUCUUAUGAACAUUCUUUUUGGCAUAAAUGGAUCUCGGUUACUACGUUUGAUUGUUAAUUAGACUUGAUCCGUAAUUCUAUGCGUUUUUUUUUUGCGAAAUUAAGUUAAUUUAGUUUAAUAUUAUUAGAUUAUUGUCACCUAAAAUUAGUAUAUUUAAUCAGUUAAGGAAAUUCUUUUGACACGGCCUUUACGAAACCUUGUAUGUGAUACUUUGCUUAGAAAAGUAUUUGGGUUUUUUUUUCGUAUUUAUAUUUAAAAUUACUAGAAAGAAGUUAUUUGAAGUGUGAUACUUUGUGAAAUGUUAAAGCUUAUGGUUUGGUUGUAAUUAUGUUUUUGCUUAUAUAUGUUUACGACUGUUGGCAUUCUUUUUUUUUUUUUUUGGUAUUUGAAGUUUGCAUAUAUGGUGUGUAUUAAGAUUUUCAAGUUGUUCUUCAAACAUAUUCUGGGUAGUUUGAUAUAUCACAUGUUUCUGUGAAUUCUUUAGAUGAGGCAAUUGUUUUUUAUCUUAGCUGCAUUGUUAAGUUCUUUACGAUAUAGAAUUCCCUAAUUUCCUUCUGCUAAUCCAGUAAUUGCAGCUUCAUUCUAAGGUUCUUUAUUUUCUAUAAAGCAUAUAUUGCUUCAUUAACCCUCCUCUAAAAUCAAGCCAAACGUGACUUGUAUUUGAUUUUUAUUCUAGAAAAAUAGAAUCCAUCCUUUUCUUUUUCUCUUUAUGUUGCUAAUAUGUAUUUUAUUCAUUCCAAUCUUACAGAUCAUUGGUGGAUGUCGAAUCAGCAUACAAUACUUACAAUUGUGAGAGGAAGAUGAACAACUAAUUGCCUGGUUCAGUUACCCUUGAAGCUAGGAAGAUUGACAUAGAAACAUUUGUUUAAGUGAAUAAUUGUACCUUUUUUUUUGGUUAAUUUGGCAUUUCUACACGAACUACUCUUAUUGUUAUAAUGGUUAUUGACACACUCAACCUUUGAAUUUAUAGAUAAAAAAACCUUCAAAAUAUUUCCACGUUCAAUCAUUGAGCAUUAGAGUAAUAUCAUCCAACCAACUAAUACACAAAACACAACUAAAAUUAUACAACAAAAGAAUAAAUCAAUGAUCAGUCUGUUAAGUCUGCUUCAAACUUCUCUGUCAUUAUCAUUUUGUUGAAGUAGCAAUUGUUGAAAACUCCCUUGUUGAGAACCUUUAUAUGAUAUCCAAGAUGAAGAAUAAGGCAACAUAGAUGGGUGCGAUGGGAGUGUUGGAGAUUGCUAGUUUGCACAAAAUAAGAACCAUAUUACAUUCCAGAAAAUACUAAAUUAAUUAGGCAUAAAUAUCGAAAUUGGACUAUAACUUAUAAUGUAAGAAUCAAAAGGAAACAAUGGAUAAAUAUUACAUCCUUGUGAUUGGUAUGCGAACACAGGUUCCUAAAUAAUGACCAUUAUUUAGUGACCACUAAAAUUUAAAAAAUUUAAAAAAUUAAAUACUAUUACAUCAAAGAACAUAAAACUUACUGGAUCCUUAUUGCUUUCUUGAGUUGGGACUACAAUAUCCACCUCAGAAGAUAAUAGUGUUUGUACAUUUGAAUCCUAUAAAUCCAUAAAAAGAUAAAUUAAAAUUAAAAUUAAAUUAAUUGUAGAAUAAUUAACUAAGUAGUUUAAUCUUACCUUAAUUGUUGUCAUCUAAUUCUUCAUUUUUUGGCUUAUAAGAAGAUAAUGGUGUUUAUCAAACAACAUCCCAAACUUUGGCUCAUACUUUUUUGGUUUCACAUCCACAGCAUUACCAGUUUCUUCAUUAUUUUCAUCUAAAUUGUUGUCAUCUAAUUCUUCAAAAUCUUCGACUUCGUAGUUUUUAUCCAAAUCCUUCAUUUCUAUACCAUAAAAAAUAAAUUAUAUUAACCAUAUGUAAUUCAAACAAAAUCUACAUUUCAAAUAACUUAUUUCUAAUAAUUUUAAAAUAUAAAUAAAAUAAAUCAAAACUUUCCUCAACAUGCUAAAUUUAUUUACCUAGGUAGGUGAAAUAGGUCCAAAAUCGUCGAGCACACUGUCAAGUAAGGCUGGUCGGCGACGUGAAAAAAUAUGGAAUAUUCUAAAAAAAGCAAGGUUUGGAACCCAUGCGAUGCGCCUUUCUCCUGGAGCAUGGAAGUAAGCCAACCUAAUAGAGAAAAAAAAUCAAAGGGUUAUUAAGUUUUACAUAAUAAGUAGGAAAUAAGUACCUUUAAUAUAAUGAGGGCAUUUAUGAAGAAAGAUAUUUGAUUUUCUAUUUAGUCAUUUUAUCACUCAUAUAAAGGUUAAGAAAUUUUACUUUUUUUUAUUAACAUAAAAAUAUCUUACAAUAAGAUUUUAGAUAUAAAACAAAGAAGUCAAAAGGGUGAAUGUUCAUUUAAUCCCUACAUUUUGACUUAAGUACUCGUUUAGUCCCUAUAUUUAAAAAAAAAAAAGUCAAAACACCUCUGCAGUUAAAUAUGUUAUAUUUUGACUGUUAUUUUUUUUAAUAAUAAUACCCCUCCAACAAUAUUCUUGGCAUCAAUUAAUUUAUCUAUAACAAAUUAACCAAUAAUUAUUUAUUAAUGAAUGAAUCAAUAAAUAUUAUUGUAAAACAACUAUUAUUUUUUGUACCUUUGCAGCAAUCUUAAUAAUAAUUGUUUAUAAAUAAAUUAAUAUUAGACAACUUAAAGCAGUGUUCUUAAUAUACUUAUAAAAUGUUACGAAUAAUUAUUUUAUAAAAAAUUAAUUUAUCAAAUCAAUCAUAAAGUAAAAUAGUAAUAUAAAAAUUUGUGUAACUAAUAACUUAAAAGUUUGUGUAAAUCUUUAUGUUUUUUUUUCUUUAAAUCCACCAGUGAGGUGGGGGGUGAGGCAUGAACCCCUACCUGUAAUAUAGAUCAGUAAAUGAUAAAAUACAUAUGGAGGGGUACGUAAACCAAAACUUCAAGUUUAAAGAAACAAUACAACAGGAAAGAAAACCAAUACAAUAAGCAAUAGAUAACUAGCAAGGUCUGCCAGAAAAUUGUUUACCAUACUUGUGACCGGUGAGUAAUUUGAAGCCCUUCCUAGAAUACUGCCCAAUAACACUAAAGUCAGGGCUUGGAUAUUUGUCUCCCGGUGUUCUCUGGUGUAGACAAAACCAUCAUCCUCUGGGUACUCAUCUAAAAUGUGAUCUUCAUAACUGGGAAACUUAUAGUUCACAAGGUACCUAAAAUGCUUGUUCUCAUCCCCACUGAUCUCUUCGUCAGAUUGAGUGGGAAUAUCGGUAGAGUGGGUUUUGAAUCCCACAACCCUCAUGCCAAAAUCAUCUGAUAAGAUUGAAAUCCUGUAGAUACCCGAUGAUCUAAAGUCUCAAUGCUAUGCUGGGGAGAUAUACCAUGAUCACUGGGCUCAAACUGUGCUCUAGAAUCUUGAGUCCUAAUAUCCUAGGAAUCAAGGAUCAAUUCUUGAGUGACUGUGGGGCCCAUAUCAUUAGCUUGGUUCUCUAUAGGUGAAAUCAUGGUGAUUGGAGAUGUAAUGUCCACGACCUACGGGGCCAAGUUCGAAUGCUCUGGGUUUGGGCCUGAAGUGUAUCGUGGAGUGUUUGAAGGCGAAACCCUUGUUUCCUUACCCUUUUCAAUAUUAGUUUGUCGAGCUCUAUUAAACUGCUGGGGGUGAAGUCUUGGAUUAGCCAUAUAACAUGUCUCAAAUGCAUGGCUAAGGUGCUUGCAGGAAGCACAGUAUAGUGAAAUUUUCUCGUACUCUACACUUAGCCAAAAACCAGAAUUGCCCACACCGAUCUGAAUCCCCUGUAGAGGAGGUUGAGUGACGUGCUCUACUAGAACUCUAGUUAUAGAGGGUUGAGCUAAUGAGGUAGUAGCUUGGUCAAUUCGUAACGGCUCCCCAAUUGCUGACGCAAUAGAAAAUAAUGCUUCAUUGCAUUGCACAAAAUGGAUAGGCAAAUAAGGAAAUGAUAUCCAUAGAGGAACAAUGGGCAACUCCUCAGAACACCGAAAAAUCUGUAGUCCAUUUAAAAAUUCUCAUGGCACUCCCAUUAACAUACCAAAUCUGCUUAACCCACAGGCGAGUGUAGUCUUUUUCAACAUUCAAUUUAAUUAAAAUGUGACGAUUAUCUAAUAGAGAAAUUUGAGAAUUUCCAUUUAAUUCCAACGAGCUAAAAAAUUUUCUAAUUAGUUUCAUACGAGGGUGAUUGUAAGAAAGUUUACCGACCAAUGUCAACUUGAAUGGAAUAGCCAUCACUUUGACUUCCUCUACGGAAAACUACACGUUUGGUUUAUCCUCAUACAAAGAGACUAUCUUGACGGGGACCAUCGAGGUUGUGGGCCCAUUUAUAAUUUCAGCAAAGGAUUUUUUUAUCGGCAUAUUUAAAUUUCGAUUGGGAGUUGAAGUUAAAACUGAUGCGUAUGUCAGGAUGGAAGUGGGCUGAUUUUGAGGUUGGUUUUGGGCUGGUGUUCGAUGAAUUAUUAGUUUGGGAUUGAUUUUGGACUUGUACACUUAUAUUGGAUGUUUGGGCUUUUUGUGGUUUAAUGGAUUGAUUUGGUUUUGGGCUUGAUAAUUGAAGUUGGAUUUAUGGAUAUUAAUGGGAUGGGCUUCCGAGUGCAUUUGGGCUUGUGGGUUUAAUGUUGAAUGGUUAUGGAGGGUUUCAUGAUUACUGUGGGUAUUGCAAGUACUAGGGGGAGACAAAUUUUGGUGGGAAGAAAAAUAAGCCGAAAGUUGUGCAUUUAUUGGUGGAAUUGAGGGGUUUGAUUUUGAAUGAGUGGGAGACAGAAGCGGGUCCCGUGCACUGUUUGAAUGUUGGCUUUUUGGUGAUGCCAUAGGAAAAGUGUUAUGAGUACAUGUAUUUUGUGAGGCUGCAUGUUGAUUUUUGGCGUGAGUGGAGGCAUGUAAGGUAAUUUUGGAAAUCUUUAAUGCAUGUGAAGGCUUUGAAAUGUUGAGCUCAUAGGGGACAACAUUACUUGAGCAUGGCUGACUUUAUGGACUUUGUGAAAGCGAGUUAUGGGCGUGGCCGCGUGUGUGUGGUCAAAAACUGUGAGGGAUUGUCGAGAAUUUCUGAAUUUUUGCUUAUCGGUUGGGCCGAAGCUGGCUGUCUUGGCUGACUUUUGGUACAUGCCGUUUGUGUACCAAAACGUGUGUAAUCAAGGGGCUGUUCAGAAGCUUCAUCUCGGCCAUUAACGGUGGUUGCAAAGUUAACAGCUGAGAGUUGUUUUUGAGCUUGUACAGGGGCUGUGAUGGCUGGAUCUUGUGAUUCACCAUGUUUAACUUGUUCACGGUUGGAGGUGCAAACUUUGGUAUGCGAUGAGGGGUUUUGGUCACGGCUUUCUUCCACUUCCUCAAGUGGUUGACUUCGGUUUUCACUUUGAUGUGGGAGUGACUGAUUUGUUUAUUCACCACGGCUUUCUUGGUCAUCUUGGCCGCCAUGCUUGCUAUUUUGCACGUUUGUGUAACGUGCAUGUGGGGUCGCACGAAGGGAUGGGGUGUCUUGGUCAUGGUUUUCUGCCAUUUCUUCUUGUUCAUUCACAGUAAUAGAGACCGCCGAAGGUUUCUGAAGUUUUGAUAGGAUAGAGACAGUGGAUGUUGGUGGUGGUUCAGCAUGGGGUUGGUUUACAGGUGUAUAUGGUAGAUGUGUAAGUGGAUUGUUGGCGGUUUGCCGUUGUUUGAGCAAUCUUUUUGAGCGCCUUGGGUUGGGCUGUGGUUGUGAUGGCAGUUUAUACACAUCUACCGUAUAAUAAUCUCAUCAAAAUGAACUUGAUAAUAAUCUAAUUAGUAAGGAUUCUACUGAAAAUAUGACAGAAUCUCCUUUAUAAGUAUAACACUCCUAAUCUGAAAAUAUAGAAAAAACACUUCUAAAAUAAUUCAAUAUACAACAAACUCCAAUAAUCAACAUCCUCAACUAAAAUGUUGAGUUUUACUCAAGAUAUCUCAAUAGUCUCAAAAGAUAAUAUUAUAACUAAUAUUAAUAUCUCAGUUUAUUCUUAAUUCUAAAAGAAUAAUAUAACAAAAUUAUACAAUCCCAAAAUAACGAAAAUUAAUAAAUGUUAUAUUAAAAAAUUCUAAAUAAUUAUAGUAAAUUAGAAAAGCCUUGAAUCAUUCUCUACAAUCCUUUAAUAAACAAUCAAAAGAAAUAACGUUUCUUAUUAUCAAUCUAAGAAUUGCUAUAAUUAUUAAUAAAGAAGAAAAAUUUCGAAGGCGUUACAAUUUUUAUGACCCAUCUCUGACCACCCCCCACCUUGCAAAUUCUUAUUGAUUGUGUGGGGGUGUAUUUGGUGGCGGCGGAUUAUUUCCAUAUGCAGGAACUUUCCUCAGACUUCUCUGAUGGCGUAACCCUUCAGUCGUACUUUUAUGGACUAAACUUUCUGUCAGUGAGAGUUCAAUACAAAGGUUAAGAAAAUUAAAAAUGCAAUAAAAGCAAAAACAAAAAUACAAAAAUAGUAGAAGGAUAUAUAAAAUUAAUGUUCUUCAAUUAAUUGGAUCAAAAAAUUAAUUUCAUGUUCUUAAUUGCACACCUUGGAUAGCUGAGAAAUUCCGAAUUCUUGCUUCUAUUACCAAGGGACAUGAACUGAUUGAUAUAAUAACCAUAUAGGCAACAAGCAAAGUGCAGACUGUAACAUUAUUCCUAUAACACUUUGACAUAUUACUUAUUUGAAAACAGGAAAAAAAAUGAAUGGGGAUUAUUCAAUUCUAUCAAUCCUUUUAUACAAUCACUGGGAAGGAAAGACUUCCAAAAUUCAAGCUUUGAAUUGUAUAAGUCAAAAUUAUUAAUUGCUAGUAAAUUCUCUUCAAAAAAAAGAAAAACAAAAUUCCUUCAUUUAAUUUCAAGGCUUUGAACAAGUCCCCAACCAUCUCCAUCAGCACUUGUGAAGUUUUCUCCCCGAUUAUCAAUUGUUUAGUGUUUCCUAAUCCCUAAUUAAUGUUCUACAUUAGCAAGAACCUAGUUUUAACAUUUCUAUCACACAGGUCGACGACUUCUCUGCCUUCAUAAUAUUGAAUUUUUAACCGUUAUAAAUGAUUUAUGAUGUAUACAUGAGUAAGGGCAUUUCAGUCAUUUGAAUAUGCUGAUCCGGUUGGUUUUAACUCUUAACGUAAAAGCUACAGGUCAAUGAAUCGGUUCCCCUUACACACCAACCAUGGAGAUAGAGAUUCUAAUUUGUGUUUUUGCAUUGGGAUACUUUGCUCAAAAGGUUUUGAGCGUGCAGUCUAUUGCAAAAAAAUAACAAAAAUUAUAAUCAGGGCUGCUACUGAAAGUUCAAUCAAUUUUUCAGCCCCUAUCUCUCAAAGAUUCGAACUCAACUAACCAGCCAAAGAAACUAUCAAGCCCCUAAAGGAUAAAUUCUCAACUCCAAUCCAGAAGAAUAAUUCAAAUUGUAUGCUGAUAAUUAAUAUCUCGCACCAUGACCAAUACAUGUACAGAGGAGUGGAAUUAGGGGAGUUCCUGGACACCAAGCUUUAAAAAUGACCUUUAUCUAGGUAAUUUUAUUCUUUACCCCCUCAGUUUCAUUGUUCGAACAUAUUGCCAGCUGCAUUAAUAAAGUUUGGUGUUUCCAUACGCCCCCAUCGAAUGAAAAUUCUGGUUUCACCAUACGCCGUCACCGGAGCACUCAGCAGAUUUGAAAGAGCCAUUACUUACUAGUAUAUAUGCGUUGAUGGAAUGAGAUUUGUUGUUUCCAUACUACUAUUGUUGAAGUCAACAAAUUCUUGGUUGCACCAACAAUCGUAGAGAAGCAAAAUCAAAAUUGAUUUUGUAGCCGAAAAGAAAGAAUUGACAAAGGGGAUGAAUUUGAAAAAUAAUAAUAAUUAAACAUUAUAUUUUUAAUUAUUUUAUUCUUUGCAUAGUAAUUCAUUUAUUUUAUAUAUAGUUAAGGAUUUCAUUCAUUUGAAAUCAUCCUAAAAUUGUCAAGCUCAUAAGUUUCUAAGCUUUUGAGAGAAGUGAGAGAAGUGUGUAUGGGGAAUUUAUCUUUCCUGCAGAGUGUGAGAGUAUUGGGUAUAUUUGGGUUUCUGGGAAGUGAGAUUCGUUACUCAAAUAUUGUACUCUAUUAAUUGUUAAAUAAACAAUUAUUCUUUCUUGCCUCCGUGGAUGUAGGUUUAAUUACCGAACCACAUAAUUCUUGUGUCUUUUAUUUUUCUAUAAUUAUUUGGUGCGCUUGAUUCCGCAUUCCGCGCACAACAACUAUCACUUAAAAAAAAAAAAAGAAUUGCAAAGCAUACAUAUUAAAUGGUAACAUUAAUAAAUGGUUUAUUAAAACAUUUUUAUUGUCAUAAAACUGAAAUAUUGGAUGGUACGACAUAGGUCACUGCGUUUAAAUGGAGCUGGUACUGGGACUUUGAAUGAAUGCAACAUGUAAGUCAAGAACGUGAAAGAACUGUAAUUACUGUAAUCUUAGUCAUGAAGUAUAUGCUUUCAUUUCGACCUUGUCUUCUUGCUUCUUCACAAUCUCAUUUUGGUUCAAAUUGAACAAAUUACAAACAAAUGCAUGUUGCUAGCUAUUAUUAUGCCCCAUCUCUGAACACCCCCCCACCUUGCAAUUUCUACCAUUUUAAUUUAUUGUAUCGUGAAAGAAUAUGUGGGAUCGUACAUGUGUUUUCUUCUUGUCUUGGUGGGUCUCAGCCGAGUGACUUGAUGAGGAUACAUAUGGACAUAUAUACAUAUCAUUCAAAACGCUUUUCAUUCAACUUGAACUUUUUUUUUUUUUUUUUUUGUUUAGAGUUUCUCUUUCAGAUUACUGAAGGAGACAGACAUAGGAGAAAGAAACAGAAGGAAAAACAAGCUGCAGAGAAGUUUGGGAUUAAUGCGAGAAAAUUCCUAGAAGUUAGUGGUGUGAAUUUGUUAUAUAUUCCAAAAUGCAAGUGGAUUGAAUGGAACUUGCAUGUGUAAAUUUAAGUCAAUAGCGUGGAAAAGCUAAAAUCUUAUGGCUUAUUAAUAAGUAAUUCCUAUUAAAGGAAAAUUGUCUAGUGAAUGAAAGGACCAUAAUGAUCAUUUUUAAAAAUUCUUUAAUAUACUAUGUCAUUUAUCUCAUCAAUCCCAUUUUCUAAUUAAUUUAUUUAUUUAUGGAAUUAACUUUUUUAUAAAUUUAAAAAAUAAUUAAGAAUAAAUGUAUUUUUGCCAUGUCUCAUCUGCUCUCUCAGUAUCAUAAUUGGAUUUAGUCUAUCACUACUACCAGUAUGUAUCUUACACAGAGGAUGAUAAAGAAUCACAUUAAAAUUUUCGUCUUCUAGAUAUUAUGAAGGACUAAAAAACAUGAGAACCUCAAAAAAUGUAAAGACUGGUGGAAUAAUGCAGGAUAAAGGACAGCCCCACUAAGAACAUCCAAAUUGCUUUUAAAUAUCCACUAAAACAUGUUUUUUUUUUUUUUUAAACUGGAAACUUCAUUAAAAGGCAAAGAUUACAGAGAAGUAAAUAACCAAGGAGGUGGAACAUGACUCCACUCCUCAAAGCCUGACAAGGAACCCCUCACCCGAGCGGUAACAUGGGCGGCAGUGUUCGCAGACCUUCGAACAAAAGUGAACUCAAUAUCUCCUAUAGACUUAGCUAAAGCUAGACAAUCAUCAAGAAUAAGACCAUACCCAUUCGGACAAGAAUAGCUUGCUGUGGGAGCUUUAAAAACCUGAAUGCAGUCCAUUUCUACUACAACACAAGACAAAAUGCGCUUCUUAAUCCAGCUGAGGAUCUCACACACACCAAGCGCUUCAGCAUCCCUUGCACCAAAACUACCCAAGACAGAUACACAGCAAGCUGCCACAAAAAGGCCAUCAGAGUUGCGAAUGACCCCUCCAUAACUUACUUUUCCCUGAGCUGAAAAUGUUGCGGCAUCAACAUUACACUUAAGCCAACCUAACUGAGGAGGUGUCCAGCAAAUUGCCCCAUGACAGCCUUGGAAACAAGUAGCAUUAUUGACAUCAGAUUUCUGCCUCGCAGUUUGCCAUUGAAACAAAUAAUUUCCAGCAGAGUUGAGGACAUGACGAACACUACAGACUUUGUUAUUCCAAACUUUCUCAUUCCUCCGGUACUAGAUCCUCCAGCAUAUCAUGGCAACAAGGUUACACAUCUCUUUAUGACAGCAAGAAAAAACAAGCUCCAACCAAUUAAGAAAAGAAGGUUGAGGUCCAAUUAAACCAAGAGAAGAAGUCAGCCAACAAGUCUGAGCAAAAACACAGUUCACCAAAGCAUGCACAAUAGUUUCUUUUUGCUGAUUGCAAAGGGAACAUAUGGGCAUUACCUCGACUCUCUUCCAAAUAAGAUUAUCAGUGGUGGGAAGCACAUUCUGUGCAGCUCGCCAAAGAAAAACCUUCACCUUACUAGGCACCUCCAAGCUCCAAAUUUUCCUCCAAAUACCAGAAGAUGGGGCGUUGACAUAGUUGUUAAGCAAUCUAUAACAACUCCGAACAGUAUACAACCCAUGGGGGUCAGCCAUCCAGUAUCAAACAUCCUUGUCUCUUCGAGAACUCAGCGGGAUUUGCAAAAUGAGGUUUCGGUCUCGAGUAUCAAAGAGAUCUGCCACUACCUCAUAGUCCCAUCUACGCUGCCCAGGGACCAUCAAACUGUUGACUGGAGCUGAAGCUAAACUUUCAUUUAAGCUGGUGGAAAUAAACCCAUUAUCUACAUCAGGAAGCCAAGGAUCCGACCCGAUGAGAGUGUUCUGACCACUGCCAACCUGGAUCCUACUACUGCGAACAAUAAUAUGCUUGGCUGCCAACAGAGAUCUCCACAUGAAACUUGGAUUAUGACCUAAGACAGCCUCUACAAUAGAUGUGCGAGGGAAAUACCGAGCUUUGAAAAUUUGGCCAAUAAGAGAUUUUGGAUUCGUUAACAGCUUCCAAACUUGUUUCCCAACAUUGCCACAUUGAAAUUGUGAAGGUUUUUUAAGCCAAUUCCUCCAGUGGUCUUUGGUUUACACAACAAAUUCCAUUUCAUCCAGCGAAUACCACCUCGCCCCUCACGUCUGCUUCCCCACCAGAAAGAGUUCAUCAUGGUUUCUAAAUCUUUGCAAAGGUCUAGAGGCAAAAGAUAAACCUGCAUAGCAUAAUUGGGAAUAGCUUGAGCCACUGUUUUUAACAGAAUUUCCUUUCCAGCUCCCGACAAAAAAUUCAUACUCCAGCUGUGAAGCUUUUGCCACACCCUAUCUCGAAUAUAACUGAAGACUUCCUUUUUAUUCCUGCCAACAAAAGAGGGUAAGCCAAGAUAAGUGCCAUGGUUAGCAGUAGCGUUAACCGCUAAAAUAUGACAAAGCUGCUCCUUAACGUCUUCUUUAACAUUUGAACUAAAGGAAAUUGAGGAUUUGCUAAGGUUCACCAUCUGGCCUGACCCCUGACCAUACACCCCAAGAAUGCGCUUAAUCACAUGAGCUUCACUGUUGGUAGCCUUGAAGAACAAAAAGCAGUCAUCCGCAAAAAAUAAAUGAGAAACAACAGGAGCCCCUCUAGCUACCUUAACCCCAUGGAGCAAACCAGCACGCUCAUUCUUGCGGAUUAAAGCACUUAAACCUUCCGCACAAAGGAUGAAUAAGUACGGCGACAAAGGGUCCCCUUGACGAAGCCCUCUACUAGGAACAAUAGGACCAAUCUCCUUCCCAUCCCGAAUAACAUGAUAUCGAACCGUAGAAACACAUAGCAUAAUCAAGGUCACCCAUUUACCAUCAAAACCCAGCCUAAGCAACAUAGCUUCCAAGAAAUCCCAUUCAAUACGGUUAUAAGCUUUCGACAUGUCGAUUUUAAGAGCAGUUGCCCCAACCUUUCCUUGACGUUUCCUUUUUAAAAAAUGCAUGAUUUCAGAGGAUAUAAGGAUAUUAUCAGUGAUGGCUCGACCCGGUAUAAAAGCACUCUGAGAUUCAGACACUACAGAGCCCAGAACAAUUUUCAUACGAUUUGAGAGCAUUUUAGCGACAAUUUUAUAUAGGACAUUGCAUAACGCAAUAGGCCUCAUGUCCGAAAGAGACUCUGGUUUUGAUUUCUUAGGGAUCAGCACAAUAACAUGUUCAUUGUCAUAAAAGUGAAAUAUUGGGUUGUACUUCAUAGGUCAUUGCGUUUAAAUGGAGCUGGUACCGGGACUUUGAAUGGAUGCAACAUGUAAGUCAAGAAUGUGAAAGAACUGUAACCUUAGUUAGAAGUAUAUGCUUUCAUCUCCACAUUGUUUUCUUGCUUCUUCACGAUCUCCCUUUGGUUCAUUAAACAAAUGACAAAUAAAUGCUUGUUAAUGGCUAUUAUGCCCCAUCUCUGACCACCCCUCACCUUGCAGUUUCAACCACUUUACUUUAUUGUAUCAUUAAAGUAUAUGUGGUACAUGUGUUUUCUUCUUGGUGGGUGAAAAUCGUGCGACUUCGGGAUAUGGACAUAUACACAUAUCAUUCAAAACGCUUUUCAUGCAACUUGAAUUUGGUUUAUUUUUGCUUAGAAUUUCUCUUUCAAUUUACUGAGGAGACAGACAUAGGGAAAAGAAAAAAGAAAAAUAAGCUGCGGAAAAAACGAUGACUUUGGAAUUAAUGCCAGAAAUUUCCUGGAAGUUGCGGCGUCAAUGCGUUAUUUCAAAGUGCAGGUUGAUUGAAUGCAACAUACAUAAUUGCAUAUGUAAAUGUAAGUCAGUGACGUGGAAAAGCUAAAAUCUUAUUAACGAACAUCACUGUUAAAGGAAAUUUGUAAAUUGUUGAGUGUCCUCACACGCACCAUUUUUUAAAAUUCUCUAAUAUACUGGGUAAUUUAUUUUAUCGGCCUCACUUUUCAAUUAAUUCAUUUAUUUUCAAAAGUUAUCAUUUCUGUAAAUUUAAAAAAUAAUUAACGAUAAAUGUAUUUUUACCCUCUCUCAUCUGCGCUCUUAGUAUCAUAAUUAAACGGUUAAACCUAGUCUAUCACCACCACCGAUUAAUAUAUAUUUUACACUGAGGAUGAUAAAGACAUAUAUGUAUCCUCAAAUGAUCACAAUAAAAAUUUGCACUUCUAGAGAUUAUAAAGGUCUACAAAACAUGCGAACCUCCAAAGAUGUAAAGAAUGGUGGAAUAAUGCAGGAUAAAGGGCAGCUCCAUGAAGAAAUUCCAAACUGCCCAGCGUCUGAAAUACAAUACCAGAUAAACAAUUUUUCCAGACAUGAAAAGAAAAUUUAGCCAGAAAACAAGCUUCCAAAGUAAGAGACAAUUUUCCAUCUUUAGAAAGUUGCCUAACAAUAAAAUUCAUUAAAGGUUCUAUUGACAAAACUAUGAAUAUGUUUAGGAGUGAGGUGUUGUAGUUUUUAAGCUGCAGCUGUUGUGGAGUAAAAUGUAUAGUUGUGGAAUAGAAGUUGAGAAAAAAAAAUUGUUAAACUACCAAAACACAACUACAAAUGUUACCAAACACCUUAUGAGCUUUGACAGCUCAACUACCUCAUCAUACUUUCAAACGGACUAUAUGUCCUUAAUUUCAGUUGCAUCUGGGCAUGCAUUAGCAAAAGAAAUGGGAAAGUUGGAAUAGACCUUUAAUCAUUGACAACCAGGGCAAGAGAAAGAUUGCAAAGACAAAAGAAACAAAUAAAAAUAACAUUUAUUUUAAUUUGUUAUUAAGGGUAAUUUUGAAAAUAAAUGGAUAAAUUAAAAAGUGGGAAUUAAUGAAAUAGAUUGAAGAGACCAAAUAUCACCUCUCAUGAUUUUAUCUUUGCAGGCCCAAGGUAAGCUUUUGGACCUUGUUUAAAGAAAAUCUUGGGAAAUAAUUAAUGAAUGGUAAUAUUUAACUCCAUUUUAUCUCACUAAAUCCGAUCUUAAUAAAACCUUUAAAAAGGAGGGUCCGCCUAUGUUGCCACUGUUAUACUGUACAACAAUUUUUGUCAUUUUUCAAUCUAACCAUUAGAUGGUUCAGAGUUCAAUCUAACGGCUUAUAUAAAUUAAUGGCGAUUUGAAGGUGCAACUUACAACUUUGGGAGCCCUUUUUUUAUUUUUUAUUCAGCGAUGAAAAUUGCAUAAAGAAAGGGCGUUCUGUUAGCUCCAAAUAUCCAGUUAGGGUUUGAAUUCAAGGUCGCAUGGAAUCGCAUCCAUUCGAGAUCCGUAUUGGCGCUGAAAUCAAUUCUCUGAAUCCGCGAGUGGACUAAAUUAGGAAGGAAGCCGCUGUUGAUCAAGCGGUGGCGGUGACGGCCAUAAACUGAACCUUGAAAAUCCGAAUCGGGUUAGAAUCUCUGCUGAUCUCUGAAAUAAUGUGCACGGGUCUUAUUAUUAAACCACCUAUCGGACUGUAAUGGAGUUCGAUUCUCUCAAAAUUGACCAAACCAAUAUGGAGACUAUUCGAAAAGAAAGUUAAGGAAAAAAACAAAUUGACUCGCCAAAUAAUUACGGCGGGCAAAAAGUGUUUUGAUAAUCAAUUCAAGAUUCAGAAGUUAAGAGUAAUUUUUUUAACUUGCAAUGAACAGUUGAAUGGUUCCGAAAGGGAAAGAGCUUUUUCGAGUUUGAGUGUUGUGGAAUUGAUGCUUACGAGGUUGCAUUGUUUAGCUUUGAGGUUGAUGGAAGAGCGCAUUGUUUAUCCGGUGAAGUAUAACAACGAAGGGAAGCCCACGGCUGCAGAAUUCGAGUAUCCCAAAAUUUAUCAUAAUGGUAAUUUUUUUUGUGCCCAUGUGUUUAAUUUUGCGACUGAGAAAAUGAAAGUCGGGGAAUGCAGAUUAUGUGUAAAUUAAAAGAUCAAAAUGGGGCACGUAUAGACGCGAUGGCUGUGGAGGAUUAUAAGUUUUUGAAUUUGUCACAUGUCCCUACGGUAAGUGCCACAACUAGUGUGCUCAUUUGCAGAGGUUUUACUUUCAGAAGUAGACUAAGAAUGCUAAGAAAGAUGGUAGUAAUAUGAAGCUUAAGAAUCCGAAAUACUUGUCGAUAUUUAAUCAUUUGAGGUUUUGUUUGCCUGAGAUGUAAUGAAAAUUGCAUAGGAUUUUAUUGUUGGAUGAUGAUAUUGAGGUACAAAUGCCCUAACAGGGUUUUAGAAGAUUGAUGUGGAUGGGAAAAUGAAUGGAACAGUAGAGACUUAUUCUGGUUCAUUUCAUAGAUAUUGACAGUACAUGAAUAUCUCGCAUCCUUUAAUUGAGGCAAAGUUUAACCCAAAGACAUGUACAUGGGCUUAUAAGAUGAACUUCUUUGAUUUGGAUGCUUGGACAUGGGAGAAUGUUUAUUGUGUGUACAUUACUAGUAGAAUUUGGUAAGAUUGAUUUUAAUAUUAAUCCAUUUUCAUUGAUUAAGGGACUACCAAAUAGUUUAUAUGCCGAUUAAUGCUUUAAAUACUUGAUAUGAAUUACAAUGAUUAUCUACUUCCUGUGAUUGUACUUGCUAUGUAAUCAUAAACCUUUAGUUGUUUGAGGAGAUCAGCCACGAGUGGUAUAACUGUUAGUUGGUUUCAGAGGUGAUAUCGUUAGACGAAAUUAAACUUAUUUUGCAUGACAGCAAUUUGGGCAUAAGUUUUAUGUGUUUUUUUUUAUAGUUUGGAAUUUAUAUUUGGAUUGUUAUUAAUUAUUAAAGCCAUUUAUGUUACUGAAUGAGGAUAUGACAUUGUGGAAAUUGUUGCAAACAUGACAGAAUUUUGAGUAAUGAACUUCAAGUUUUGAGAUUCAAGUAUUAAAUAUCCCCUCUCAUGUUGAAAUCAUAUUUUGAAUUUUUUCUUUUGGUGAUCUACAUUUGCUUGCUAGAAAUGGGACACGAUAAGGUAUUGCCCUGCAGUGAGGUUCAUUAAAUUGCGCCAAAGGUGUUGCCAAUUUGAAGGUGCAAAUAUUAUUUUGCUUAUUUUUUUCGAAUUAUGUUAGUGGCUGUAGCAGUUUAUACAAGACCAUAGAACGAAUGCAUAAUUUGCUAGAUAAUACAAUAAUAAACUUACCUGCACAUAGUAAUAAUAUUUCAAAAAUAUAUACCAUGUUACAUUAAAUAAUUAAGAUGGAACAAAAUAUAUUUCUAAAGUUCCUUAUGACAAUGAUUUGUUCUUUAAGUUGCAACCACACCUUUCAACUUACGGGUAUGUAUUAAUUGGUCAGCAUAUACAUCUUUUUGUUGAAACCAAAAUAUUUAUAACUUCUUAAGUAUAUUCGUAGCUUCUUGGCAUGAAACUUUUUGUAUUAGUUUUUUGAAACUAUAUAUCUUUUUUACUAAUAUCUAUCCAUUGAAUUUGACUCACUUACUAAUUAAUUUAUUAUGUCUAUACAUUGAAUUUGACUCACUAAUUAAUUUAUUAAUACAUGACACGAUUUACCUCUAUAUCACUUGCAUUAGGGAUAAUUAAGCAAAGAGAAUAAUUUUUGUACUACACCUCUAUUGAAUUAUAACAUCUUUAUAAGAAUAAAUUUCUCCAGUCACACCAAUAUGACUAUAUAGAGAUUUUACUGUAUAUAUAAUCAUUAUGCGGGGGCCCUAAUACAGAUACUUUCUUAAAUCAUAGGGUUUUAUAAGCUUAUUUUUGAAUGAGUUAUAAAACCAUGUGAUUUAAGAGAUUUAAGAUCUUGACUCUAGUAAACUCUAUGGUUUAAAAGUGUGUUCACAUAAAAAAAAAAAUUAGGACGACACCUGAACUAAAGAAUGAGUGUAUAUAUAUAAAGUAAACUACCUCGUUGUAAAUUGACUAUCCUUAAAUUAUUAUUUUAUUUUUUACAAUCUCAAGUUACCCUAUUUUUAUUCAAAAGGUAAGAGAAUAAUUUGAGUUGAUGCUUUUUUUUUUUUUUGGGUCUUCUUAACAAAAUAGAAGGUAAAUUGAGAUUUUUAAAAAUAAUGGGAGAUUUGAAGAUAGUAAAUUUAUGAGGAGAUAAUCUAAAAUUAUCCCUAAAAAGGAAAAAAGUAACAGUUGAUUCUUCGCUUCAUAAACUAGGAGUAUCGUUAAAGACGCCAAUUUGGUUGGGUUCUCUUUACAUUGUUCUAGGCAAGCAUUUGCUUAUUUUUCAAAUUCAUUAUAUACUAUUUGUUCGCAAUGUUUUGUCGACAUUUAACUAUGUUGAGCAAUAGUUUGAAAAUUUACCCUCACAAUUAUUAGGGAGAAAUCUAAGAAAAUUUAUAAAAAUAUCCCAAUAAAUUAUAGAAUUUCAAAAUUAACGCCACAAAAUUAUAUCUAUCAUAAAUAGCCAAACAAUAUCCUUUUGGAUUAAAACGCCCCUACAUUUCACGAUCCCUAUUCUCUUUGUUCUCUACUUUAACAAACCAAAACUUAGGUGGCGUUUGUUUUUUUGUCUGAAAUCUGAAUAGAUCUUAAUAUCUGAAUCUAAAUAAUAUGUUUGUUUUUUUCGUCUGAAUCUCGGAAAAUAAGUAUUAAGUUGUUUUUUUUUUCAACUUAAAAAGCUGAAAAUAUGUACUUUUACAUUUGUAUCCUUAUUAAAUUUGAAUGUCAAAUAAAUAAUAUAUUAAAUACCACAAUAUUUUAACAUUUAUAAGUAAAACUAUAAUUAAGUGAAUACAUAAUUAUUUUAGAAUUUUAAUAUAUAAAAUACCAUAAAUUUCAAAUUUUAUCGUAUAUAAUAUAAGAAAGAAAAAAUAUGGAUAUUUUUAUGUGGGGUAAAUGUCUGUGGGUGAGUUUUGGGAUAAACAUGAAAAAUAAAUUAUAAAGCAGAGAUAUUUUUUACAUUAGCAAGUAAUUGACUUAAUUAAGAUUUCUCCAUUAAGUAAAAGGCCAAAAAAAUUGGCUUAUUUUAUUAAGUCAAAAUUAUAAAAAAAAAGUCUCAUUAAGUUAUAAAAACAAACACCUCUAAUUAACUUAAUUAAUAAAGUUAAGUCACUUUAAGUCAUUAAGUUAAAAAACAAACGCCACCUUAAUUUCACAACAUUAGCAUUGUCGGUGAUGGUGACGAAGUACGGGGAAGGAAUACAUCAUUGGUGAUGGAAUAGAGCACGUCUAUGGCAACGAUGAUGGGAAAACCAAAUCCGAACAAGUCCAAACGAAUCCAAACCCUACUUUAUCAUUAUUCAUUUUUUAGUGAUAUUAAUGAGCUUGAAUGGAAUUGUAGGUGAACUGAACUCAACCUAAACACACUCAGUUUAAUUAUGAAGGCAUCGAUUCACAUUUAUAAUGUCUUGGAUUUGGAGACUCCUCUAAUCCAAAUCUAGAUUGAGUUACUUUUCGUUUUGGAGUGACGUCAAAUGCAUCUCAGUAUCUUACACUCCUUUUUCAUCAAAGCAUAAUCUUAGAAAACCCGCAAAAUUUCCACGAUGAAAAAUCACUAUUGGCUGACCAACAUGACCGCGACACAAAUUAUUCAGGGGCUAUUUAGUAUUGUUUCUGAAUUUGUAUUUUAUGAAAACAAAAAAUGAGAAUGAAGAUAGUGUUUUGCAAUUGCUGUAUUUCGAAUUUUAGUACACAUCUAGUAUCAUUUUUUUGCAUCAUGUAUUUUAAAAUUACAAACAGUAAUAUACUUUUGAUAGACACAAUUGAAAAUGAUAAAAACAAUGAAUAAAUAUUCGGUAGUACCAUUUUUAAAAAUAGUUUUUAUAAAAUAUUUAAGUCAUACUUGUAGUUAGAAAAUAAUUAUUCAACUAAUACAUACACAAACAUACCAUAAAUAAUUUAAACAAAAAUAAUUAUAAAAAAUUACAUGAUGAUAAAAUUUUAAUAUUAGCAUUAAUAAAAAAAGUUUUAUAUUAUCAUUGUUUUACACUAUAAUUAAGAUAGAUAUUAUAACACAGAUGAUUUAAACAAAAUAAUUAUAAAAAUUACAUGAUAGGCAUCAUGCAUUACGUGUGUAAUCAUGCCGCAUAAAAUGCAAUUUUAUCUUUUGUAGCAUUCAUCUCUACAACACUGAAUAGUAGUAAGUGGCCUACUAAUAUCUCCUUCAUUUGUAACCAUAUCUUACACAUCAAAGUCCUCAAACAAUCUAUCACUAGUAUUUUUUCGUUGAAUAAAAUUAUGUAAAACGCAACAUGAAAUUGGAAUUAGACGUUGCUUACGUAAACUAUAAUUAUGCUCACCAAUUAACAUCACGUGGAUCCAUAUCGUGUUACUACAAAAUUUUAAAAAAAAUCACAUAUAUCAAAUAUUAAUUAAAUUAAAGAAACUGCUCCUACACAUACAUAGCUCAAACUUUUAAAAUUAAUCAAAUUCAACAUAGUGUGAAAGCCAUUUCAGUAAUGUAUCAUAGAUUAAAAAUUGAACAUAUCAAAAUCAAAUAUAUUCUACUACAAAUUGACCAGUUCAAAUUAAGACCAAGCUCUUGUCAAAAGUUUUUAUCUUUUAACUCAUUUUUUCACAGCAUAACAAAAAUUUAAGAAAAAUGCAAUCAAGGUAAUGUACACUAAACCAAUCGCAUCUAAAUGAAUACAACAUGAUAUUAUUACAAUCAGUUCACGCUAAUCUCUACAAUUUUUGCAUUAAUAUGCUUUCGGUCCUUGAUAUAUUAAAUGAAAUGACAAUGGAAUUAGACAAGAACAACCAAUACUGUCAAUAACUCACAACACCCACAUGCUUUGCUGUGAAACUCCGCAUCAAAAUGGUAAAUAAUAUGCCUUUGCAUGAUUUUCCAACACAAAAAGACAACUAAUUCCAAAUAAGAACAACAAAAUCAUAUUUACAAAAUAAAUAUUUAAUCGGUCCCUAUUUUAUAGUCCAACUCCUAGAAUAGAAUUGAUGAAAGCUUGGCUAGCAAAACAAUCACUUAAGAGAUGUCAAAAAACCCCGACCUGAAUUUUGGUCUAAUUGAUCUGGCCCGAAUUUUUUGGAUUUUGACCCGAAGUUAAGGGUCAAAAUUCAAGCUUAGACUUAAAAAUAAAAGCCCGAUCAAAAGCCUGAACUCUGACUCAACUUUACUCGAUUACUUAACAAUUAGCCGACCCAACCCGACUCGACCCGAUUAUUUAAUAAUUAAAAAAAGUGUGUUUUAAUUUGAAUUGUGUGACUUUAUUUGAAUUAGUCAUGUUUUUUUUUUGUUUAUGUUUAGUUAUUUAUAUGAUUUUAUGGUUGAGAUAUCGAUUGAAGUAAUUUUUAUAUUUAAUUUGAAUAUAUUAGGGGAGGUAAAUUUAAAAUAUUUAAAUAUUAAAAAAAUAUUAAGGUUGGGUCUCCGAAAGUGAAAAUUCAGGCUUUUUAUCGGGUUCGGAUCCUUUAUUUAUAUUGUCGGGUCGGGCUCGGACUUUAUUAGCCACAAUUUUUAUUUCAUGAUCAUGAUUACAAAACAAAACAAAAUAGUAUGAUAAUAAUUAGUAAAAAUUUACUCAAAUACAAAAAAAAAAAGGUAAUUAUCCACCGUCCACUUGUUUUUUCACACUUUUUUAAAAAUAUACAAUUCUUAAUUUUUGUUACUGAACUCUACUUGAAGUUAUAUUUUUUUGCACAUGUCCACUGUCGUCUUCAAACCAAUAAAACUUUUCUGACGUCAUAAGGGUAUAAUAAUAAUUUCACCUAUACUUCAAAAACUUAAUUUGGACAAUAUUUCGUUAAUUUUCUUAACGGUUUGAAGACGGCAGUGGACAUGUGCACAAAAAUAAAACGUCAAGUGAAGUUCAGAAAAAAAAUAAAAUUUAUGUAUUUUUAAAAAAGUAUAAAAAGAUAGGUGGAUGGUGAAUAAUUACCCUAAAUAAAUACCAAUAACUCACAAUAGCAGAGAUGGAGUCGAGAGAGGAGCAACAACAAACGAGAUAGUCGAGAUGGAGCAGCUUCGGCGGAGAUGGAGGAACAACAGUGGUUGAGAUGAAGUAGCAGCGGCAACAAAGAUGGAGUACGAUAGCUGAUUUGGGCACACCGAGAGAGAAUAAUCACCACUGUUAGUAGAUCGAGAGGGAUAAGGAGCGAGAGUCAGCGCUAUUGGACAAAGAAAUAAGGAUAAAGAGAUAAGGCCGAGACUUUUAGAUUUUAUUUUUUAAUUUAGUUUUGUAAUACGUGGUAAACAUGUUCUCACUUUAAUAGUUAUAAAAUUGAAUCUCAGCUUAUUUGUUUUACAAUUUUUUUUUUUAAUUUCAACCAUCAAACAUGUAUUAACUGAGAUUCAUAAAAGGAAAAUGAAAAUAGAGCACAUAACACGUUGCCGAACAGACCCUUAAAUACUCAUAUUCUUCUAUUAAUUAACGUAAAGCCCACUAUUAUUGUCAAAAGUUUUUUCUUUUAUCCAUUAAAAGUCUGAUGGAAAAGUGUCACGAAACUCACAACUGGACACAUAGCCAAUUACCGAAUGAAUUUCCUUAGCAAAAACGUAAGAUGCUUGGCUUUCAUGUUCUAGCCGCUAUCAUCAUCCCAAUUUUGUAAUUCAAUUCAAUUCGAUUUCUUACAGAUUUUUGCAAUAAAAAAUUUAAGGUGGCAAAGUUUGCUUCAAUGGAUAGUUAAUUGCACUAUUUUAGAAAUUAAAUUGCCAUGAUUUUAAAAUCGACAUUAUGAUUUAUAAACAUUAUAUAUAUUUUUGUUAAAUCUUUUUUAAAUAGAUAGGGAUCCUAAGUCCUACCCCACGAGCUAAAUAUAACAAUUUAAAUAGUAGAUGACAAUAUAAGUGAAGUUCAUAGAUGCUCAUACUUUAAGAAUUGGUUUUUGAGAGUAAUGCAUUAUUUAAAAUUAAGGUUGGACAAUUGUAAAUUAAAAUGUAUAGUAUCAAAUAUUUGACAAAUAUUAACUAUUAUAACUUAAAAAUUAAAAAAAUUUAAUUUUAUACUUGAAUAAUAAAAAUUUAUUAUAUCAUUACUAAUUUUAUUAAAAUUAUUAUUUAAAAAUAUAUUUAUUAUAUAUUAUUAAUUUUUAUUUUAUAAUUACUUUUUUUUCCUUCCAACUAAAAACUUUUUUAAAGAAAAAGCGGGAUGUGAAGUCAUAUGAUGGAUGAUGGACCGUGUGGAUGUCCAUUGGGAACCGUGAUGCUAUUGUACAGCCGGUUUUGCGUGGCUUUGUUUCAUUUUACAAUUUUUCCGAUAAAAGCAAAGAAGUUUUAUGACAAACACGACCAAACUUGGUCCUUUUUCUGUCCCAGAAAGCACGAAAUCACCAACCACAGAAACCAAACUGUCAAAAUAUAUAUUUUUUAAAGCAAUUUUUCAUAAUGUCUUUGUACUGCUAAUCUUUAUUAAUAGAUACAAAUUUAUUUUGUGUAAAUUAUGUGGUAUGAUAAAAUUAAUUGAAUUAAAUAUUAUUUAACUCACGUGAUUUAUUUUUAUUAUUUUAUAUUUUUAUUCAAUCAAUAAAUUUAUGUCAUGUCAGUAUAAGAUAAAUUUAUAUAAGAGUUUAUGGUUAUAUUAUCAUUCUAAUCAUAUUGCAACAAUGGAUUCAAAACAAGAGCAUCUGCACAUGAGUUUCUUCCAUAUUUUCGUGCAUACUGAUGGGCAUGGGGAAGGGUUCUUUGGCACCGAAAAAGUUUCAGCAUCAAUGGAUUCCCCAAAUGUUGUCUUCUCCAAAGAUGUAGUUAUUGUGCCAGAGAAAGGCGUAACAUCAAGAAUCUUCAUCCCUUCAGCCGCCAUUAAAACAAACCAAAAGCUCCCUCUUCUAUUAUCACGGCGGAGGUUUAUUCAUGGGUUCACCAUUUUGUUCCACGUACCACAACUAUAUCGGCUCUCUUUCAGCCAAAGCAAAUGUUAUUGUAGUCUCAAUUGAUUACAGAUUAGCCCCUGAACACUUGGUCGCUGCAGCUUAUGAAGACUCAUGGGCUGCUCUCAAAUGGGUUGCUUCUCAUUUUAAGAUCAGUGCUCAUGGUUAUGAAACUUGGCUAAACACUCGUGCUAAUUUUACUUGUGUUUUUACGCGGUAACAGUGCAGGCGGCAAUAUUGUGCACAGCGUGGCAUUUCAAGCAAGUUUUGAAGACUUGAAUGGGAUAAAAUUGUCAGGAAUUUGCUUGGUUCAGCCAUAUUUUGGGAGAAAUUAUGGAGUUGUUGAUAACUGCUGGGUAAUUUGUAUGUCCAUAUACAAGUGGGUUCAAUGAUGUGAGAAUAAAAUCAGCUGCUGACUCUGGGUUAAGAAGCCUGAGGUGCCCCAGGGUUCUUGUUUGUGUUACUGAGAAGGACAAUUGGAGAGACGGGGUUGUUUUAUUAUGAGACUUUGAAAAAUUAUGGAUGGGCUGGAGAAACUGAGAUUGUGGAGACAGAAGGAGACGAUCACGUGUUUUAUUUGUUCCAUCUAGAUUCUGAAGAGGCUGUGCCCUUGAUGGAUAAAUUAGCUUCAUCAUUAAAUCGAGAUAAUGUAUUCUGAUGUGAUCACCGGAAACUCAGUAAUGUGUGUACUUGAUAAACAGUGAACUCGAAACUCAAGUACUACAAGUCGUUUAGAGGAUUCAGUCUCGGAUGACUUGUCGCUUGUAGAGUUCCUGAAGCCAGAAUCGACAUAAUCUCAGUCGUCAGUUCUACCUUUAGUAGUACACGUGAUUUGCACGUGUGUUGAAGCUAACUUUUUUCUUGGAUCAAGAAACGACAUCUCUUAGUGCCGUUUCUUAAUCACACUUAAAUCAGCGUGUGACAAGCACGUGAGGCAGAGCUUCUCGGAUAGUUUUGGCGGGAAUGGUAGUUAGCGUAACAACCCAGAAACAAAGGAUAAAAUGGUGCAGGCUUGGUCAUCAUCUACACAUGAUUUGGUAAAAACUAAGAGUAGAGAGAAGAUAGAGAGAAAAAAGGGUUUACAAGUUCUUGUUCUCUGUAAAUCAAAUCUUAUUCUUGUAUUGUUUUGUGAACAAAUUAGUGAAAGACUGUUGCUUUGUUUCCAGUGGAUGUAAGCACCACUUCUUGGUGCUGAACCCCUUAUACUUGGUGUCAUAUUGUUUCUUUAAUGCUUUGGUUCUUGCGUGUGAUUGUUGCUCGAUAAUCUGUGCUGUUAAUUCUUAAACCAUUGAUACAGAAUUAGUGUCUUAGGGAGAAUUUGGUUAGUCGUAUCAAAGACAAAUUCACAACAAAUUGGUAUCAGAGCUCUCUUUUCUGUAUCAAGGUUCAAGAAAUGACUAACAAAGUGGAUCUUGAGAAGUUCACGGGUCAGAACGACUUCAAUAUGUGGAGGAUCAAGAUGGAAGCAUUGUUAAUCACACAAGGUCUGGGAGAUGCCGUUGAUCCAGUCAUCAAGAAUGAAAAUGCAGAAGCUUCUUCUUCAAGAACUCCAGAACAGAUGGCUGAGAUUGACAAAAAGGCAAGAAGCACCAUCAUCCUCAGUCUUGGUGACUCAGUGAUAAGGGAAGUUGCCAAGGAAAAGACUAUUGCUGGGCUCUGGGCAAAACUGGAACAAUUGUAUAUGACAAAGUCCUUAGCAAACAGGCUAUACAUCAAGAAAAAUAUGUUCUCACUGAGGAUGAUUGAAGGAGCAUCACUUGAUGAACACAUAGAUGAGUUUAAUAAAGUUUGUGAUGAACUAGAAACAAUUGAUGAAUGACUAAGUGAUGAGAGCAAGGCUUUGCUGUUGAUCAGUUCUUUACCAAAAUCAUAUGAACAUUUUGUGGAUGCCUUGUUAUAUGGAAGGCAAUCACUCUCCUUGGAAGAGGUAAAAUCUGCUCUUGGUACCAAGAAGUUAAAAGACAAACAAGAUAACUCAGAGAGUGAAUCAAGUGAAGGGCUGAUGGCAAGAGGCAGACCUGAAAAAAGAGAGUACAAAGGAAAGAAGCAAGGAAGAUCAAAGUCAAAGCAAAAACACUUAAAGUGUUUUCACUGCCACAAAAAAGGGCAUUUCAAGAGGGAUUGCCCUGAGAGGAAAACAAAGCAAAAGGAAUCAAAAGACAAAUCUGGAAAUGCAGCAAUAGCCACAGAAGAAACCAGUUUUGAGACAGCUGAAGUCCUCAAUGCUACAAAAGAAAAAACUCAAGGUCAGUGGGUAGUAGACUCUGGAUGUACUUUUCAUAUGAGCCCAAAUAGAAAUUGCUUUACAACAUAUCAGUCCUAUGAUGGGGGUAUGGUGCUGAUGGGAAAUAAUUCAGUUUGUAAAGUAGUUGGGAUUGUAAGCCUUAAGAUGUAUGAUGGCAUGGUUAGAGAACUAACUCAGGUUAGGCAUGUUCUUGAGCUUAAAAGGAACCUAAUAUCUAUUGGCAUGCUUGAUCAAACUGGAUGUGUCAUUAAGGUUGAAAAUGGGUCAUUGAAAGUUAUUAGAGGCUCAAUAGUCAUAAUGAAAGGUACCAAGCAAAAUGGUUUGUAUGUGCUGAAUGGACAUACAACUGUUGGAGAGGCAAGUGUUACUGAGAAGAGUGAAGAUAAAGCAAGGCUAUGGCACUUGAGGUUGGGGCACAUGAGUGAGAGAGGACUAAAGGAGCUUCAAAAGAAGGGGGUGUUUGGAAGUGACAAGCUAAGUUCUUUGGGAUUCUGUGAAGACUGUAUUCUAGGAAAGGCUUCCAGGCUCAAGUUUGAAUCUGCAGUUCAUUCUACCAAAGAGAGGCUUGCAUAUAUAGACUCUGAUCUGUGGGGACCUGCACAGGUAGAUUCUCUUGGUGGUUGUAGAUAUUUCUUAUCCUUAAUAGAUGACUAUUCAAGGAUGGUUUGGGUGUAUGUACUCAAAACCAAAGAUGAAGUUUUGGAAAGGUUCAAAAGAUGGAAAAUUCUGGUAGAAACACAAACAAGUUUGAAAGUAAAAGCUUUAAGAACAGAUAAUGGAAUGGAAUUCUGCAAUAAAGAGUUUAGAGACUUUUGUGAAAGACAUGGGAUUAUGAGGCACAAAACAGUCAUACACACACCUCAGCAAAAUGGUCUUGCUGAGAGGAUGAACAGAACCUUAAUGGACAAGGUGAAGUGUAUGCUGCUAUACUCUAAGCUGCCUAAGUCACUCUGGGCAGAGGCCUUAAACACAGCAUGCUACUUGGUAAAUAGAAGCCCAUCUACAGCAAUAGAAUACAAAACACCUAUCGAGCUAUGGUCUGGAAGGGUUGCAGAUUACUCUAAACUAAGAAUCUUUGGCUGUGUUGCUUAUGCACAUGUCAAACAAGGCAAAUUGGAGCCAAGAGCCUUAAAGUGUAGAUUUCUGGGAUACCCUGAUGGAGUUAAAGGCUAUAGGCUAUGGUGCAUUGAUAUGAAGCCACCAAAAUGCAUUAUCAGCAGGGAUGUAACUUUCAAUGAGUCAGAAAUCUUGAUCAAAUCCAAAGCCACUGAAUCCAAAGAGUAUAGAUCAGAAACAAGACCUGGGAGUAUUCAGUUUAAGGUGGAGUCCCAUGAGCAAGAUAGGACUGAAUCAGAAACUGAAGAAGAUGCAGGAAGGGUUGCUGAUGGAUCUGAUGAUGUCCAGGAGUCAGAGCCAGCUGAGAAUGAAAAUGACUCUUAUCAGUUGGUCAGGGAUAGAAAGAGGAGAGCUGUAAGACCACCUAAAAGGUAUGCAACAGCAGAUUUGAUAGCUUAUGAUGGCAAUGGGGAGGGGAGGGGAGGGGACCAAUCUCCCCAUACCCAUCCCCGAUAUUUUGCAUAUGUCCCCGUCCCCUCCCCGUCCCUGUCAAAAUUACUUGAGAGAAUCUCCAUCCCCUCCCCGAAUAAUAACAGGGGAUCCCCGAGGGUCCCCGGUCCCCGAAUAACUAAUAGUCUAAUAUAUUAUUUUUAUUUUUGAUUUUAAAUUAAUCAUAUUAAAAUAAAAAAUUCAGAUAAAAAUAAAGUUCAAAAUAUAUCUUACAUUAAUAUUGAUCCAUUACAAAGUCACAUUCAAAAUAUAAAUUAUUAAAAUAAUCAUAAAACAAUGAAAAUAACAUAAGUAAAGUAACUUAUAAGUGCAAAUAUUAAUAACUGUAUAAUAUAAUCACAAUGUAAAAUAAACUCAUACUGUUAUUGUAAGCUCGUAACCAACUUUGACAGCACAUUAAGGCCUCCAAUGUGCUUGGAUGAAGUUUGUUACCGUGUGGGCUCACAACUCUACCACCGGUGCUAAAAGCUGAUUCAGAAGCAACUGUUGUAAUUGGAAUUGCCAAAAUAUCUCUAGCAAUUCGAGCUAAUGUAGGUUACCUAUUAGCAUUUAAUAAUAUAAAUAUUUUGAUAUUUAUUAUUUUUAACAAUAUUUAUAAUUUUGUUAUUUAUUUAUUAGUAAUUUUAAAAAUAAAAAUAAAAUUAAAAAUUAAAAUGGGAAAAUGGGUAGGGGAUGGGGAUUCCACCUCAUCCCCGUCCCCUCCCCGAAUAAAAAAUUGGGUAUAAAAUUAUCCCCGUACCCUCCCCGAAUGGGGAAAAUCCCCGAGGGUACCCGUCCCCAUGGGGAUUUUUGCCAUCCCUACUUAUGCAUUAACAGCUGCACAAGAGGUAAAUGAGGAAAAGCCAAGAACCUAUAAAGAAGCUAUAAACAGCAGUGAUGAGCUGAAAUGGAAGAAGGCUAUGGAUGAGGAAAUUGAAUCACUGAUGAAAAAUGGAACUUGGAAACUGAUAGUUAGACCAAAGAAAAGGAAGAUUGUUAGCUGCAAAUGGAUCUUCAAAAUUAAGAAAUGAAUAUCUGAUGCUGAACUUAGUAGGUUUAAGGCCAGGCUGGUAGCAAGAGGUUUCACACAAAGAGAGGGGAUUGAUUUCAAUGAAAUCUUCUCUCCAGUUGUGAAGCAUGCCUCCAUCAGAGUCAUCUUAGCUUUAGUUGCCAUUCAAGACAUGUACUUGGAGCAGAUGGAUGUUAAAACAGCCUUUCUGCAUGGUGAAUUACAAGAAGAAAUUGUAAUGGAGCAGCCUGAGGGGUAUGUGGUGUCUGGUAAGGAAGAUCAUGUGUGCUUACUAAAGAAAUCUUUAUAUGGAUUAAAGCAGUCUUCUAGGCAAUGGUACUUGAAGUUUGAUAGUUUUAUGACAAAGCAUGCCUAUAAGAGAUGCAAUUAUGAUUGUUGCGUGUACUUUGAGGACAUUGGUGAUGGAAAAGUGAUUUAUCUUAUUCUGUAUGUGGAUGACAUGCUUAUAGCAUGUCACAGCAUAGAUGAAAUCAGUCAUUUAAAGGACCUCUUGAGCAGUGAAUUCGAUAUGAAAGAUCUUGGAGCUGCAAGGAAGAUCUUAGGUAUGGAAAUUAUCAGAGACAGGAGAAUGAAGCUUAUGUUUCUAACCCAACAGAGCUAUGUUAAAAAGGUGUUAGUUAGAUUUAGGAUGCAUGAAUCUAAGUCUGUUCAAACACCUUUGGCAAAUCAUUUCAAGUUGUCUGCUGCACAGUGUCCACAAACUGAUGCAGAGCAAGAAAAAAUGGCAAAGAUACCUUACUCCAGUGCAGUUAGGAGCCUCAUGUAUGCCAUGGUUCUCACUAGACCGGAUAUCUCACAUGUUGUGAGUAUAGUGAGUAUAUUCAUGGCAAAUCCAAGUUAUGAGCAUUGAAGGCCAGUCCAAUGGAUAAUGAGGUACCUGAAAGGUACUAUGGAGUUUGGUCUGCUAUAUGGAGGGUUAAAACAGGAAGGGCACAAGCUAAUGGGGUAUGUUGAUUCAGACUUCUCUGGAGAUCUUGACAAAAGAAGGUCUCAGACAGGCUUUAUAUUCACUUUGGAAGGCUGCACUGUGAACUGGAAAGCUACUCUGCAAAAUGUGGUAGCUUUGUCCACAACUGAAGCCGAAUAUACAGCAGCUGCAGAAGUUUUUAAGGAAGCUAUCUGGUUAAAGGGAAUGGUCUCAGAGUUGGGAUCAAAACAAGAAACAUUUGAAGUAUAUUGUGAUAGCCAGAGUGCAAUACAUCUGAGUAAAAACCAGACCCAUCAUGAAAGAACAAAACAUAUCGAUGUAAAGCUGCAUUUUGUUAUACUUGAAGUUUCAAAAGGAACUGUGAAGAUGCUCAAGGUUCACACUGAUCAAAAUCCAGCUGAUAUGUUGACUAAAGCUGUGCCAUCUGCCAAGCUCAACCUCUGUUUGAACUUAGCAGGAAUUUACAGUUUCUGAUCAGCUGCAAAGGAAAGGGAAUGAAGUAAACAAGAGUAGCUAGAGUUCUGAGUUCAAGGUGGAGAUUGAUAAACAGUGAACUCGAAACUCAAGUACUACAAGUCGUUUAGAGGAUUCAGUCUCGGAUACUUGUCACUUGUAGAGUUCCUGAAGCCAUAACCGACAUAAUCUCAAUCGUCAGUUCUACCUUUAGUAGUACACAUGAUUUGCACGUGUGUUGAAGCUAACUUUUUUCUUGGAUCAAGAAACGACGUCUCUGAGUGCCAUUUCUUAAUCACACUUAAAUCAGCGUGUGACAAGCACGUGAGGCAGAGCUUCUUGGAUAGUUUUGGCGGGAAUGGUAGUUAGCGUAACAACCCAGAAACAGAGGAUAAAAGGGUGCAGGCUUGGUCAUCAUCUACACAUGAUUUGGUAAACACUGAGAGUAGAGAGAAGAUAGAGAGAAAAAAGGGUUUACAAGUUCUUGUUCUCUGUAAAUCAAAUCCUAUUCUUGUAUUGUUUUGUGAACAAAUUAGUGAAAGACUGUUGCUUUGUUUCCAGUGGAUGUAAGCACCACUUCUUGGUGCUGAACCCCUUAUACUUGGCGUCAUAUUGUUUCUUUAAUGCUUUGGUUCUUGCGUGUGAUUGUUGCUCGAUAAUCUGUGCUGUUAAUUCUCAAACCAUUGAUACAGAAUUAAUGUCUUAGGGAGAAUUUGGUUAGUCAUUUAGAUGACCUUUGCAACAACUACAUUUAGUCAUAAAAAUUAACAAUUUGUGACAGAACCCUUCAAUACAAAAUAUAUGUAAUGUAGUCUCACAUUAUUUUUAACCACAAUAUAUUUUAUUAUUUGGCUACUGUUUAUAUCGUAUUCAAAAAAUUGAAGUGACUUUUCUCAACCAUUAUUAAAACACAAAAUAAAUCCACAACAACAUAUUGUAGUGGCAUAAAUUGAAAUUUAGUGACCAAAAAAAUUGUAGUCACGUGAAAAAGGAUUUAAAAUAUGUAAUUACAAUCCAAAAGAUUCAAAUACAAAGCAUGACAUUGAAAUCCAAAUAAAUAUUGUUCCUUGCAAAGAAAUAUAAAGAUAGAAGUCAUAAAACAAAGUCUCUUUUGUUUCAAGUACCAUUGGAUUUAGAUGUUGCACAUGAGAGUUGAUCAACCACGAUGAACAGAAGACAGUUUACAACGAUUCUACUUGUUUUUUCCUGAUCGUUUUUGUAAUUGAUUUUGUUAGAAAAUCAAUUUAAGGAUUAAAUUACUUGAAAAACCCAAAAAAAAAAAAUAUUCAGUAUAAAAGUAAAGAAAAUGUAUCGACAAAAGUUAGAAGUAUUUAAUAAAGGUUAGCCAUAACUUCAUUAUGCUAAAUUGCUUUAAUAAAGUAGCUAAACAUAAACAAAACUCGGCAACUAUAAAGACCUACAAUAGUAGGCUAAAAUAAAUCACAACCAGCAAUUGUAGUGAUCCAAAAGCAACAUAGAAAGACUGGAAAAUAGUAAAAAGUAAUGUAUGAAAUUAAGAGAAAAUAGUGCCAAAAAAACUGCAAAACUCAAUAAAUAAAGUAGGAAUACAACAGUAUAUUAAAGAAGAUUAAUUCAUUAUUACUGUGUUAAUAAGGUUUUUUUAGUAACAAUGUCGUCUCCAAUUGAUUUUAUAGGGGCUACACGUAAUUGAUAAUUUCAUCCAACACCAGGGCCUUUCCAAUUACCUAAUUUUAUGCCAAACCAUAUGAAGUUUAUAAGAAUUAUUAUAAGCAUGAAAACUCAUAAUUUGUUUUAAAACAGGAAAGAGUGAAUAAAUAAAUAAAAAGAAGAAUUCAAAUUACUUAAUUACCACAGCCAGUAACAAGUUUUUGUAAAAUUUUCAUCCUCUCACUAACUUUCUCUCUUCUUACUCGAAACCAAAUAAUGACAAGACUUUAUAAAAAAAAUAAUGACGAGACAACAACCCGUUAGACUUUCACAAAAAUUGGAAAUUAAAAUAAUGUAAUAGGUGAUUAGGGAUAAAAAGGAAAAAAAGUUUAAAUUUGUAUCAAUGUACUCAUCCUUUUACUAAUAUAUAUGUGACAAUCAUCAGAUUGUACUAACACUACCUUUCCUCCUUUUACUAAGUAUUAGUCAUAAUUUUAACGAAUGAGAUUUUUGGGUUGGCGGGCAAUAUUGCCAUCAGAGAGAGUGAUCCAUUGAAAAUUAUGUCAGAUUUCCUAAUGGAAUGGCAGCGUUUCACUAGCUAGUCAAAGUGGAAUAUUAAGAUAAUGUUUCAUUUAUAUGACUUUUAUUUACACAAACCCUAAAAGGUUGGGCAAGAAAACACAAAAUUCUGACUCGUAGACCUUUAGCUGGUUGUAUGCACUGUUCAACCAGCGUAAGCAUGCUCACCGAAUUAACUUUCUAUCGUCAUGUCUCUUUUCUUUUUUAAAAGAUAGGAUGAACAAAAUACAAAUUAAUUUGUAGUCACUAUUGUUUUUAAGAUUCGAAAUUUAGUUGAUUAGCACAAGAAAAUUACUUAAAAUUAUCAAAUUGAAUGGCAAUAAAAUCAAUUUUUAAUUUACUCACGACAAUGAAAUAAAGAGUAAUUAAAUAUGCACAUCAAAUCAUCCAUCUACUGCAUAUGUCGUCCAUAUUUUUUUUUUCUUUCAUUCAUAUUUAAUGACUCUUUAUUUCAUCACCAACCGUCCAACCCAACAUUUUCUUAUUGUCCUGCUAACCAACUGGACCAUCAUAUAUUAUGAACUAUAUUCAGUGUUAUUUAAUUAUAUAUCUGCUUGUACUCCAAUGUUCUCUCUCUAUCUCUUUUGUUUUUUUUUUUUUGGCUUUUUAAUAACUAUUUUAAUUAAUCAAGCUUAUGAAUAAUGAGGAUUGAAUAUUAAAGAGUUUAAUUGUAUAGGAGCCAAUUUGUGAAAAAGAAACUACAGUUUGAUUCGAUUUAACCUAGCUCUAAAUUCACCUUUCAUUGUUAUUCCGCCGUCUGCAAGAUGGAUGGAUGCACCAUGCCCAUUAUUUCAGAGAACUGACUUAAGCGACCACACUGCAAAUGUAAUUUGCUACGACACACAAUUAUGCAUAAUUUUUCAACAUGUUUCUAGAUGUCAAAGUAUCUAUCAAUAAUUGAAUGACACUUAUCACAUUAUCACUUUUCAUUAGGUCACAUCUGUGAUUCGCAAAAGCUCUUGCAUGUGCACAGGAAUUAAUUGGGUUUUGUUUCCAUCGCCUCCAAUUACGUACCCAAUGUCUAGGGAUGACAACGGGGUAGAUUAAUAGAUAUGGGUUGGAUCUACUCUGCUAUACAUUCAGAUUCAUAAUAAAAAUCAAGAUCCGUAUCUGCUCUAGAUCCGUCAUAAAUUCAUAUAUUUCGCUCUAUAUCCAGAUCAAAAAAAGAAAUAAAUAUCUAUAUCUGCUAUAAAUUCGAAAAAAAAAUUAAAAUCCAAAUAUACUCUAGAUCCAUCAUGAAUUCUAAAACUCAGCAAUAAAAAAGUAAUAAUAUUUUAGAAUGAAAAUUGAAGGUUAAAAUGUUUUGAUAACAAAUAAAUUAUAUAAUUUAUCUCAAAAUAUAAUAAAUAUUGUAGUUUAUACUUUUACACCAAAACAACAAAUAAGAAAGAUAAUAAAAUAUUCUUCAAAAGUAAUUACAUAAGUAAGAUCAAUAUAAUAUUCUAUCGUUUCCUUCAUCAUUCUAAUAUCCACACACACCCACCCUCAUUCUUACAAUAUUAGAUAAUUACAUAUAAAUAAAAUAUGAUUUAUAUUCAGUGUUUUAUUAUGGCCAUAUUUGACUAAAUAUAUAAAUAACUAUAUUUCUUAAAAAUUAUUUGGCCAAUAUAGUAAAAUAAAUUGCCAAGUUGUAUUACUUGGCUUGCAAUUUGAAUAUUGCAUGUACAUACUUUGGGGUUGACUAACCUUUAAAUUUACAAAACUAACAUUUAAGUUUUAAGAGUUUAAAUGCAUGAUAAAUACCACUAAUAUGCUAUGAAUAAAAUUUAUUAUCAUUAUAAUUCUACAAUUGUUAUGAGACUUUUAAAAUAAAAUAAAAUUAAAAGAUGAGUGGGUGGAUAUGGAUUUAGAUAUUAUGAUAGAUCUAGACCUGCCCCAGAUCCGUCUUAGAUCCGCACAUUAAUAUCAAAAUUCGAUCUAAAUUCAUUUUAAACCGACCCAAAUCCGAUCCGAUUAGAUUUGGAUCACCUGGAUCUUGGAUCAGAUCCAAUCCAUUGCCAUCCCUACCAACGCCAAUCGAGUGGACUGCUCCAACUAUACUCGUACCCAUCCCAUAUUCCCACCCAAUAUUGGGUUCACGGAUUCGAGUUCCAUUCUUAUGAUAGGAUUCUUGAUAUUUUAAGUAAUAUUUAAAGAUAAUAUUAUAUUUACUUAAUUGAGAUAUUUAUAUUUAUGUAUAAGUAAUUUUUAUUUUUUAUUUUUAAUUUAAAUAAUAAAAUUUUAUCCCUAAUACAUUAAUUAAUAUAUCAAUUAAAUAUAUUAAAUUAAGAAAAAUUUUAAAAUACAUCAGAAAUAUCAUAUCAAUUAUACAAUAAUUAAAUAAUAUUAUAAUACGUGUGUAUUUAUUUAAAAAAAAUAUUAUAUAAAUAAUAAUUAUAUUAAAUUUAACUAUGCAUACAACAAUUAAUUAAUUGUAAUACAGAUGACUCAGUCAAAUAAAAACAGUAAUUCUGUCCUGCACAGGCCAAAUCCUUUCAUUAUCAUCUUUACAAAAGCAAACGCCCUCCACAUUUUGUGCUCUGCUUCUUCUCCAUGGAUUCCACCAACGCAUCAUCAGAAGUCGCCCAUGACUUCUCUCCUUUGAUAAAAGUACACAAAGACGGCAAAGUAGAAAGGCUUAGGGGCACCGAUAUCGUUCCCCCAUCACUUGAUCCCAAAACAAACGUUGAUUCCAAAGACGUUGUGUAUUCUCCUGAAAAUAAUUUAUCUGCUCGGCUUUACCUCCCGAAAAACACAAAUCAAAACCAAAAACUUCCCCUUCUUGUUUAUUUUCACGGUGGAGGUUUUUGCAUCGAGACUGCUUUUUCACCAACUUACCAUAAUUACCUCAACGACUUGGUCUCUGAAGCUAACAUCAUCGCAGUCUCGGUCGACUACCGAAGAGCCCCAGAGCAUCCCCUUCCUAUCGCUUAUGAAGAUUCAUGGGACGCAGUCAAAUGGGUUGCUUCCCAUGUUGACGGAAAUGG